rnacentral:lncRNA from 1 species
GAAAAAAUACUGAAGUGCGAGUGUCCGUAUGGAAACAGCAACCAAAAGCAUGUAACAGGUCCCAAACAAGGAAAGUGUUAUGAGAAUAAACAAGGACAUUGAACGGCUGGGUAGGAGAUACGCUGUUAAAACAGUUGUUGCCCAAAAGGUUAAAGUGUUGUAUAACCAAAACAUUGUGGACACGUCUAGUAUAUUUUCUAUUUUUUUUUCUUCAGCGGGUGGAGGACUUGGUACGGGUCCAGUGCUGGUUGAACCUAAAGAUAUGUCAUACGUGAGAUGGAAAUUCUGGGAAUUUGAAAUGGUAUCAGGCUGCUUUGGAGGGUUCAAAGUGGCAGUGUAUGUGGCUGUUAUAAUUAGCACUGUGACUACUAAAAAUGUGUUACGCGUCUCAUGUGGGAUUCCCUUCUUUCCACGACUUGCUAUUGUUGCAAUUUUUUGAAGAACUGACACCUUUCCUUUUAAAGAUUCGAUGGGGAUUGAAGAGAUGGAGGCUUUGGGAAGCGAGGAAGAGGAACCACGCAAACCUCCUGCUUUGCUUAUCAUAUCUUUAAUGGACUCCUUAUAGUCCACUCUCCCUUCAUCCAAUGGGUAUUGUGAUGGGAUAUCAAGUGCAGUCAAUCCCUCCGCAUUUUUGGCAUUGAUAUGGUCUCCACACAAGCGUUUCAGCAGUACUUUUACCACCUGUUAAUUAGAAUAUUCAUACAAGUAACCUUUGAGUAUAUAUAUACAUAAAUAAUUUUACUAGCAAAAUUAUCAUACCUGAGGUCUGUUUCUGAUAGUAGCAACAUGUAAAACAGUGUUGCCAUCAAUGUCUGCCCAACUCAGUAGUUCUUUCUCCCAACGGUUGGCAGCUUUAUGGCGGCUCCUUAUAAGCCACCCCACCAAGACUUGGAAAGCUUCAAACCUGUCAUUUUUUACGGCAAGAUGGAAAACCGUCUCAUCUCGAACAGUCACAUCUUCAAUAGCCUCGGGGCAAACCUCAAGGAACUUGAUCAAAAAAUCAACAUUUCCAUUUUGAACCACAUGAUGCAAAGGAGUGAAGCCCUCCCGCCCUUUGACACGAACAAGGCCUUCAUCAAACCUGAGGAGUCGAAGCACUGCUAGAGUUUUUUGAUUUUGCAGAGCCAAGUGCAUGGGGCUAAACCCAGCUUGGUUUAGCUUUCUUGCAAACGAUGGCUUUAAGUUGAUCAUCUCCAUCAUAAAAUCAAUAUGCCCUGCAGAAGCUGCUACAUGCAAAGGAGUAUGGAAAAAAGGUACAUCAUCGAUACGCUGUAAAACAUAUGGAUCAUUCAGAAUUAACUCAUACAAGAUGUUUAUGUCUCCUGUUUGUGCAGCACCUAUCAUCCUCUCAUCCAUAGCAAGGUGCGGAAAUUUGCAGAAUAUAGAAAUGGAGUGAAGAAAAAACGCUUUAGCAGAGGAUAUGAUUAUGUUAAGGAUAUAAUGAAGUGUUUGAUUAUUUUUUCCAGAUGAAGUGUUAGACAUUUUAUAGCACUUAAUUAUUUUGGAUUUAUAUGUGAUGUCAGCCUCUACACGUAUAUACGUGAAUGUCACCUAUUAGAAAGAAAUAGUAAUUAAAUUCAUAUUUAAUAUACAUUUUUAAUCUAAUUUUUUUAAUUCAAUUUAAUUUUAGUUAAAACGUUUAAAAACAUUUAUUUAAUCUAAUUUCUUUAAUAUAUUAAAUAAAAAAGAAAUAUUAAAUAAAUUGGAUUAGAGAAUAUAUUGAAUAUGGAUGAAUACUGUAUCAUACUAAUUUUAUGUCUCUAAAAAUUUUAUAUAUUAUUUAGUGGUUUAAUUUUUUAAGAACAUUUGAUAUAAUUCAUAAAGAAAACAAAUAAUAAUUAAUAAUAAAUUUUUUAAUAAAAAAGGUGUGAAAAAUGGUAAGUAGAUAAUAGCUAUUAUCGCUUACAACAUGUUUGGAUUAAAAAGAAGAAAAAAGAAGGGAAAAUUAAGUAAAUUGAGGGAAAGAAAAUUCGGUUUCUUUGUUUAAGUAAAGAAAAUUAAGUAAAUUUUUUAUCGUAUCAUUAGAUUUUAUAUUUUAGAUUAUUAUCUCUUCUUCUUCUUUUUAACUUGUAACAAUCUUAUUUUUAUUUUCUAUUUUUUUAGGUUACUAGAAAUAUUUAAUUUUAAAUUUGUUUGAUAUAUAUUUUUAAAAAUUUUAACAAUAUUUUUUUAUUAACUAUUUUGUUAAAUUAUUAGGAAUCCUUCAUUUAUAAUUUGGUUAAGAUUUUUUUUUUAGUUUGAUCAAAUAAGCUUAUUAAAAAAAGAAUAUACCAAUAUAUUAUUGGUUAACAUUUUAAUUAUUAUUUUAUAUAGAAUAUUGAUAUUUUUCUAUAAAUUUAAUUUGCUGUGAUUUAAUUUUGUUAUUAUAUAUUAUUUAUGAACUGUUAAAAUUAAAAAAUAAAAGUAAAAUAAUUCAUUUUCUUUCCUUUUCACAGUUUAGCAAAACAAGUCCACAGGCUCGUCUCAUUCAAAAAAAGUAAAUUAUAUAUAUAUAUAAGGGCUAGUUUUAACAAAUGAAAAAUAUAGAAAAACUAUAUUAAAAGAAAUGGGGAAGGGAAAAGAACAGAGGGAGAAACAGAAGAGAAUGAAAAAUAAAGAAAAGUUAAAAUAACAUAAAAAAAAUUAAGGGUGGGUUUGGAUGGGCGAUUGGGUGCGGUGCGGUGCGUUUAGCUUAUUUUUUGUCUCACACUACAGUGUCGCUACAGUAUCUAAUCUCACCGCCACCGCUGUUUUUACACUAACUGCAGGUAAACGCACCGCCCAUCCAAACCCACCCUAAAUUGAAUUGCUCAAAACGAAAAAAUUAUAGGAAUCGGUUGUAUAAAUCACCCUAAAAUUUUUGUUUGAAAGAUGAUUUAACAUGUCACAUCAGUUUAUCGUUACACCAUUAACGGAAAUUAACAGCUCAGUGACUAAAAUGUUACAACGUGAUAACGUAAAUGACUAAAAUGUAACGUUUCAAACAUAAGUGACUAAAAUGUAAGCAAAAGUGACUAUUUUAAUAAUUUACCCUUGCAUUUAUCCAAACAUACGCUUAACGUAAACAUUUUUUUAAUUAUUUUUAUUUUAUUUUAUUUUUUACCAUUAUCCGUUAUCCUUAUUUUUAAAAAGUAUAAUUAAUAAAUAGUAUAAUUAUUUUUUAAAAUUAAUUUUAAGUAAUACACCAAAUAGAUUUUAUAACUUAAAUUUAAUAUUUAAUUUUAUAAUUUUUUUUUAUCAAACAACGUUUACUCCUAAGUAAAUAAAUAAAUAAAGGCCUUGUGUAAUUAAGAAAGUUGAGAAAGAGUUAGUCCUCACAUUGGCUAAAAUAACGGAGGAAAGAGAAAAAUUGGCCAAUAAUGGGGAGGCAAUGUCAAUGAGCAUACCCCACACAUACUAUUUACUGUCAAUGGUGAUGGCUGAAUUGGCUACUAUACAUGGAUUUUGUUUUCCUUUUCUUUUUUGUUCUUGUCCUGUAUUAUUUGCAUUUGUGAUCCCAAACUAUGUAAAAUUCCAGUCACUAUGUGAUCACAUUUUAAAAAAAAAAUUAUUUAUUAUCGAUUGAGUAUCAGCUUGAUUGGUAUAAAUAUUAUUGUUAAUGUAUAAGAACAUAAAUUUGAGUGUGUUAAAGCGCAUUAUCCUCUUAUUUAUAGAUUGAGAAGUGGUUAUUGGUAGUUCUAGACAUUGUGUAGAAAAGAAUACAUAUAAUCAGAAUCUAUAUUAAAAUUUUUCAAAAAAAUAUAUUUAUUACACAUGAAUUAAAAGAAAUCUAUUUAUGGGUAGUUCAAGAUUGUUGAAGCUAUAAAAUAAAAAUUCAAUUCGAAAAUAUAAAUCUCUUUUGUUUAACAAAAUAUUAAUAAUUAGUUGAGUUAAUAUUAUGAGUCAAUCGAACACCAAUUUAAUUAAGAAAUUACGAAAAUAUCGUUCCAUAAUUAAAAUAAAUUAUAUUAUUUGAGGAUAUUUUAAUAUUUUUUAUGUAAAAAAAAAUCAAUAAAAAUAUGAAUAUGAUGGGAUUUGAAAUAAAAUCUAGAAUUUACCACUCAACCAAAAUUUUAUUUUAUUAUAUUUUAUACAUUUUUAUUUUAAUAAGCACACUUUAUUAUCUCCGUCAGUUAUAUAUAUAUUAAUAAAUUUAUUGAUUGAGUUGAUAUCACAAGUCAACUCAAUACUAACCGACAAUUGAAGACAACACUUUGAUAGACAGUUGUAGUGCAUUUAAUUAAUAUUUUUAUUUUGAUGUAUUUAUGUGUUUAAAUUUUAUUUUUGCUCCCAAAUUAAUUUAAUUUUUUAUUUUAAUGUCAUACAUAUUUUAUAUAUUCUUAUGAUUAAUUAGCUUCAAACCAUAUGUUUUAUUAUUUAUUUUAUUUUUUUAAGCAUAUAUCUGUAUUCCAAAUCUAAACGCAAUUGCUUAUGUUAGUCAAUGUUACAAAUUGAGAAAUUUAUUAAAACUAUUGAAAUCUUCACAUCUAACCUGGUUUUAUCAUGUUUGGAAGACGCUAUUGAUCUUCUUCAAGUGGUUUUUUCACAAAUAUACUAUUCAUAUAUAUAAAAUAUGAUGAGUAAUAAUGUAUAGUGACGUGUCCAAACACUAAUUGAUGAAAAAAGUGAGUAAUAUUUUAUUACAACAUGAUGCCUUUUCAUAGUAUAAAAUGACUAUGCGAAUGAGGGCUUCCUACCAUUACCAGAAAGCUGAGGCUGUAGGAAUGAUGGCUUUUGCAAGUUGUGAUUUUAGGAUUUUGUGUUUGAUUAUUGUUUAGUUAUGCUAAAAUGUCACAUAUGGGUACUGUUUUAAGUUAUGUGUGAAUUCUAAGUUGAAUAUGUAGCCGCCUAAAAUAUUUAGGAGCGCUAAUUGAGAUCAUUACGAAAGAAAAUUGUAUUCUAACGGUGUAUGAAAAUUUGGACAAAAAUCUCAACUUUUUAUUUUUUUUUAAAUUUUAUUUUUGCUCCCAAAUUAAUUUCAUUUUUUAUUGUUGUACAUAUUUUAUAUAUUCUUAUGAUUAAUUAGCUUCAAGCCAUAUGUUUUAUUAUUUAUUUUAUUUUUUUAAGCAUACAUCUGUAUUCCAAAUCUAAACACAAUUGAUUAUGUUAAUUAAGGUUACAAAUUGAGAAAUUUAUUAACACUAUUGAAAUCUUCACAUCUAACCUGCUUUUAUCAUGUUGGGUAGAUGCUAUUGAUCUUCUUCAAGUGGUCUUUCACGAGUAUACUAUUCAUAUAUAUAAAAUAUGAUGAGUAAUAAUGUAUAGUGACUGUCCAAACACUAAUUGAUGAAAAAAGUGAGUAAUAUUUUAUUACAACAUGAUGCCUUUUCAUAGUAUAAAAUGAUUAUGCGAAUGAGGGCUUCCUAACGAUGGCUUUUGCAAGUUGUGAUUUUAGGAUUUUGAUUGUUUGAUUAUUGUUUAAUUAUGCUAAAAUGUCAUAUAUUUGUGAGCCCUACACUCACAUCAAAUUUAGAUAUGACAAACAUGAUUUAAAACAAAACCAUAUUAUAUUACUAGCUGUGAGCAAUUUAAAGAAAUUGAAUUUCUUUUUUACAAUUUUAAGUUAAUCAAUUAUUUGAUUUUUUAAAAUUAACUUGAAUGAGUGAUUUUGUUUUUCAAGUUUAAGUCAAGUUGAAUUUUACAACUCAAAUAUAAAUAUCUCUUGGGUCACUGAUAGUUUUAAAAAUGUACAAACUGAUCUGUCUCAAAAAUUUUAAAAAUUCAAAAUGAUCUUCUAAAACUCAAAAUAUUUAUAAAAUAUUUUCCCAAAAUUUUAUAAAUACAUAUAAAUUCAAAGAAUUUACCACUUAAAAAUAUAUAAAAAAUAUUAAAUUAUAUUUUUUGAAAAAAUUAAUAAAAUAAAUUUGAGGUCUUAAAUAAGUAACUUAUUAAUUCAAUUUUAUCAUACUAAUUAUCUUGUAUUCCAAGAGUUUUCAUAUAUAUCAGGGGCGAAGCCAGAAAAUUUUUUUUUAGGGGGGCAAAAUGAAUUUUUUAUUUUUAAUAGUCUAUAUCUUUAUAUUAAUAUUUGAACUGGUAUAAAUUAAGAUUGUUACGUCUAACAUUUAUAUCGAAUAAUUUUUACUAUAGAGAAAAGAAGUAAAAAUAAUAAUAUAUGAUGUAAAAUUAUUAAUUUGAGUCUUAACACAGUCGGUAUUUGUAUGUUGUUUAUGUAAUAUGGAGUGAGUUCAAGUAUGUUCAUGUGUAAUUUUUCUUUCUAUUUAAAGGUUGGAGAGGAGUUAGGGUGAAGCUAGAAUUUAUUUUUUUUGGGAGACGAAAUUAAGUUGUAUAUUUUUAUGAGAGUUAAAAUACAAUUUCACAAUUUCAAUAGAUUAUAUGUUUACAAUUUUUAAAGAACUAAAUCAAUAUUUUAUCAUUUUUUGGGGCUAAAGUACAAUUUUACCAUUUAUUAACUUAAAAUUUUAUAAACUUAAUUUAAAGGGUUAAAAUUUGAAUUUCACAUUUUAAAGGGAGGGAUAGAAACCCUUCUAGGCUCCCCUCUUGCCGCCCCCCUAAGAUGAUAUAAAGUAAAGCAAUAAGUGUCUAAAAUAUAUGAAUUAUGAGUACUGAUUACACUUGACCAAUUGCUUUUCUUCAAACAAAGCAAACACUAAUGCACAUGAAAAUGCAAAUUCACAUGCAACCUAGAUAUGCAUUCUAUAUACAAUGCAAUGCAAUGAAUAAAUAAAUAAAUAAAUAUAUAUUAUUUAAUCAUGAGAGUUUUGAUCCCCUUGUGAUUCUUUAACCAACCAUUCUCACACCUAAUUAUAAUUCUAGUAUAGUAAAAGUACGUGAGUGAGUUGAAUGGAUGGUGGUUGUUUGACAUAACAUGUAGAAAGUGAAAAAAUAGUUGAAAAUAAAUCAAGUAUUAAAACAAAAAAUUUAUGAAAGAAAUUCUAGUAUUAUCAAUUUUUCGUGAGGCUCAAAGCUAUUUGGAACAAAAAUAAAAUCAAUGUGUAUAGGCUUAACAAAAUAGCUAUCAUCUUGCAUUGUUAUUUCAUCCUAACCUCUUCCCUCAUAACUUCAUCUUCUAUUUUCUGUUUGACAUUAUCAAAAGUAAAACAUAGUUUUUUUAGGUUUUUCGACUAUUUAUGCAUCAAACUUUUAGGCCAUUUUGGACAUCUUCAUAAUGUUUUUGGGCUUUAAUCUAAGAAAUAAAUUUAGAUAGAUCUUUCAAGUCACAUCAACAUUUCAUAAAUGAUUUAAUAAAUGAGUAAUAAAAGGAUUUAGGGUUAAUGUGCAAAUUUGUCACUAUACUUCAAUUUGAUUGGUAUUUGAUAUUUGAUAUUGAAUUUUAUUGCUUUAAUUUAAUUGAAUUUUGCCACUAAAAUUAGAAUUUUUAUUGAAUUUUCUAUUCAAUUUAAAUUUAAAAUAACUUGAAGGCUAAGUUGAUUAAAAAAUAGUUUUAUAUUUCGCUUUAAUAUUAAAAAAUAAUAAGUUAAUUAAUAUAAUAUUAAAUUUAAAUAAAAUAGUUAUUUUAUAAAAUAAAUUUUUUUUUCUCUUUUAUGAGAUAUGGACUCAUUAACAAUAGAAAUUCUAAUUUAAUUUAUUAAUUUUUAAUAUUUAUAAGUUAAAUUAUUGUUAAAUAUUAAAAUAAAAUAUUUGAAAGAAUUUUUCUUAUUAUAUAUAUUAUGUUUUAAAAUCAUCAAAUUAAUAUUGAGUGGUAAAAAUUAAUUAAAAAAUUGAUUUGGAGAAAUUUUUUAAUAAAAUUGAAAAUUUAUAGUAAAAUUCAAUCACAUAAUAGUUGAUUGAUAAAUUUACACAAAAACUUAAAAUAUAGCUAUGAAUAUCAAUGAAAAUAAAGUAUAGUAGCAAAAUUCAAAGUAUAGUGACAAAUCAUAUAAGUUCAAUGAAUAAAAGAAAUAAAAAAUUAAAUAUAUGAUUAAAAAGAUUUUUUUUUUUUUACGAAAUUGAAAGAUCAAAUAAAUCAUUAUACGUAAUAUAAACAAAAUCACAAGUAUCCUUAAACUUGGCUUAAUUGCCAAUUAGACAAUUUAGGAUGUCAGAUGCAUAAUCAACAAUUUGGAGAUAAAAGGAUGAAUAACCAAGUAUUUUUAUAAAUAAAUUUGUUUUAGAAGAAUGGGAUGAGUUUUAGAGUAUAUAGAGAAGUAGGGUAGUUCUUCCUUCUCCGCAUAGUGGUUUUGCCUACAAUAAUGAAGCAAAGGGAAAAACACGAGGAUGAGAUGCAAUGAAUUCCCCUUGCAUACCCAAUACGUACUAUUUACUAUUUCUUUUCCCACUGAGAAGUUGGUAUUUUGGAAUUAUCGUUUUCAGCUCUACAAAUGUUCUUGGUGCUGUGUCUGUCUUUCUUUGGUGGGUUCUUGCUUUCUGAAUCUGGUUCUACUGUCGAUUUGGAUGGUUAGGAUACAGCGCUUCAGGCAACUGAUGUUCAAAAGGUUCGAUGGCAUUGGGGAUAUGAUGAUUUUAAGUUUAUUGUCGCCCCAUCAGUUGGUUGUUUGGGUGCACAACUAAAUUUUAGUAUUAUUUUAUUUUCCAUAAUUAUAUUUAUUUAAAUUUUAUAAAUAUUUUCUAAGUCUUAAGAUUUUAUUUUUUGCAUUUUAUGAUUUCUUUUUUUGGAUUUUUAAUGGUUUUUAAAUUUUUAUAAUUUUUCUAAAAUGUUUUAAGUAUUUUGAUUGUGUGAGGUUUUGUGAAUGAAGCGAAGGGUAUCUUUAUUGUGGUGAACUUUUAAUUAGCUCAAAAUGAAGUGAUUUAUUACGUCGUGUGAUUUACGGAUAAGUGUUAAAAAUGAAAUGAAUUGUUGAAUUUGAAAACAAUGGUGUAAUAUUGCAGGGAUUUCCAACAUUAUCAUAAAUUUUAGUGAAUUUAGAGACGAAAUCACAGGUCCACUGAGUUUUGUUCAAAUUUAGGGAUUUCAUCGUCAUAUACGGUCGAUUUGGAUAGUUAGCAUACAAAGCUUCAGAUCAUUGAUGUUCAAAAGGUUUGGUGGCCAUGGGUAUAUGUUGAUUUUGAGUUUAUUGUUGCCCCAUAAGUUAGUUGCACUAAAAAAAUGGGUAUUACCGAUGCUAAAAAUUGUUACUAAAAUUUUAUUGUAGCAAUAAAAGUUGUUGCGGGAUUGUUGUGUAUAUCUUUGUUGUCUAAAAUAUAUGCAACUCUACUCAAUUACACAAUAUUUACUCUUAAAUAUGACCUAUUCAACCACCGAUUUCAGCACAUUAAACACAAAUUAAUAAUCUAGAAAUAUCAAACCAAGAAUUAAAUACACAUAAUUGAGAACAAUAAAUUAAGUGUUUAUUGCAUAAAAUAAAAAAUAAAUGAUAGAAUCCAUCAUAGAGUUCACCUCCCUAGGUAUUUAGAAAAUUAGUUCAAGCUUGAAAAUAAAAACAUCCAAGAAAUAGUACAACCAAAAGAAAUAAAGAAAUUCAUGAUAAUCUCCUAAGAAAUCAACUGAGAAUCUUCAAUCUUGACAGAAAUUUGCUUCCAACUUGGCUUCAAUGGUAUUUUUCGAGUUGUUUUCUUGAAUAUUUUAUGACGGCACUCUCAUAUCUUCUUAAUUUUGUCAUAUAUACGUCUUAGAAUGCCCAAAAAACUUAAAAAUUGUGAUUUUAUGCUGUUUGUGUGGCAAUUCCACGAAAUCGACACAGCCUACUACACACCAGUGUGGGUCAUACGACUGUGUGCUUUCCUCGUGUGAAAUUUAGAAAAUGCAAAAGAUUCCCUAUGCACUAGCUGCUGGAAUCUAAUGUAUGCUCAAGUAUGUAUGCGUCCAGAUAUUGCAUACAUUGUUGGGAUGUUAGGCAAACAUUUAAGCAACCCUGGUAUAGACCAUUGGAUAACAACUGAAAGGGUUAUGAGGUAUCUUUAGAGAACAAAAUAUUACAUGCUCACAUAUUGGAUGUUUGAUAAGUUAGAGAACAUCAAGUUUACAGACUCCAAUUUUGAUGGAAUAUUGAUGCAACAUUUUGCCACUAGAGUGCAAACUGUGACAAUAAUUAGUAGUCUCUUAUUCCAAUAACAAUAAAAGCACAUCAAAGUCAAAGCACAUAGACUUUAAGUUCAUAGUUGUUAAAAUAAAAGUUCAGGGUGGUUAGAUGUCUAUAAAGUAUAUUGAGACAAACUUCAUGAUUGCGGAUUCGCUUACUAAGGGACCACCACCCAAAGUUUUUUUCAUGAGCACACUAUUGAUAUGAGUGUAAUGUCAUUCACUACAGAAUAAGUUUUUAGUGGCGUUAUUUUGGGGCUAUAACUGCCUUAUAAGCGUCGCUAAAACAACUUGCGGCGUUUUGAAAAGCACCGCUAAAAACGCCACUAUAGAACAUGACCUUUAGGGGCGCUUUUCCCACAAAUGCCGCUAAAAGUAUGACCUUUAACAGUGUUUGUGGGGCAAACGCCACUAAAGAACAUGACCUUUAGCGGCGCUUUCUCCACAAACGUAACUAAAUGUCAUGUUCUUUAGUGUCGUUUUUAGUAAAAGCGCCGCUAAAAUUCAUGUUCUUUGGCGACAUUUGUGGAAAAAUGCUACUAACUUUAGCAGAUUUUUACCAACCCAUUUUCAUUCAUAUAGAAUCCUAAUUGUUAACAUAAUUUCCUGUAACAUCAAAUCCAACCAAAAACUAAAAAUUUAAAUGAUACUUCAAUUCCAACGAAAGAAAUAUGUAUGUGAUCUAAAUCAGUAAAUGAAAUAACAAAAUAUAUUAUAUUCAAAAGUUAUAUUGUUAAAAUAUUCUCACAAUAAGAAAACAAACAUCUAAGAUGAUGGAUUCUACGACUGUUGAAACAUCUUCAUCAUAUUCUGAAGCUGUAGCUGGAGUUUGUCAUAUUUUUUGCUUGCCCCUGCUUCCCUUGCUGCCGCCUCCGCUUUAAGUUAUAGUUGGAGUUUUUCAUAUUUUCUUUAAGUCUUUGCUUUUCUCGAUGCUGCCUCCACUUUAAAUUGAGCAAUUUGCUCAACUGUGCUCGCUUGCAUUUGAACCAUCUGGUCUCUUAACCUCUGAACUUCAGCUUGAGCCUGAUUCUCUGAAGGCAUGUAUUGUUGCGAACUGGAUCCAAAAUAUUGGGUUGGGUUAACAAAAUAUCCUUGAAAUCAAACCCGACCAUACUUUUCGAGACCCAAAACUUCGGUAAUAAUUCAGUUAUCAAUGUCAUCAAUAUUAACAGAACUAUCACUUGAAGCGAUCGCUUCAUACUCUGCCCUUUUAUCCUUUAGUUUCUCCUAAUAAAUCAACCAAAGAGUUAGAAACGAAAUAUAUAAUCAAAACAAAUGCAAUAUAACUUUGGGAGUCUAAUGUAUGCUCAAGUAUGUAUGUGUCCGGAUAUUGUGUACAUUGUUUGGCUGUUAGGCAAACAUUUAAGCAACUCUAGUAUAGGCCAUUGGAUAACAAUCGAAAGGGUUAUGAGGUAUCUUUAGAGAACAAAAUAUUACAUGCUCACAUAUUGGAUGUUUGAUAAGUUAAAGAACAUCAAGUAUACAGACUCCAAUUUUGAUGGAAUAUUGAUGCAAAAUUUUGCCACUAUAGUGCAAAUUGUGACAAUAAUUAGUAGUCUUUUAUUCCAAUAACAAUAUAAGCACAUCAAAGUCAAAACACAUAGACUUUAAGUUCAUGGUUGUUAAAAUAAAAGUUCAGGGUGGUUAGAUGUCUAUAAAGUAUAUUGAGACAAACUUCAUGAUUACAGAUUCGCUUACUAAGGGAUUACCACCCAAAGUUUUUUUCAUGAGCACACUGUUGAUACAGGUGUAAUGUCAUUUAAGGAUAUUUGACUUUAGUGGGAGUUUGUAUUUUUAAAUUUUUUUAUGUUACAGACACAUCGGUUAUCUCAGUUUACGAAUAUUAAGUUUAUUUUCUUUAGAAAUAAAGUUUAUUUGGUAAAGUUUGACCUCACUAAGGUUAAGGAGGACCAUUUAGAAUAGGCAUGUUUGAAUCAUAUUGCAUGUAAUUUUCAUGUUACACAUCCAUACUUGAUCUAUGUCAUUUGGUUGUGCUAAUAUAUGUUAUUAGGGAUGGAUUUAGUUAUGAUAUAUGUAACAAAAGUCACAUUCGUUCUAUGUUAACUUAAUUAAUGAAUGAGAUUAUUUGGAAUACCUUUUGGAUAUGAUAGUAAAGUUUUGAGCUCAUAAAUUUAUAUAAUGACAUGUAAUUAUAAGGUAAUUGGUAUAUAUAUGUGGCCAAGUGGUAUGGACAUCACAUAUAUAAUAAGCCUAAUUACUCCAAAAUCCUUGCAGCCCUUUAAUGACUUUUAAGCAAUCAUAACCAUUUUAUUUACAGGUCAUUUGUAUGAAGGAACUUUGUGGUCAUGAUCGAGAGAUUCGAAUUUAGCAUAUUUACAGAGAAGGAAAUCUUGUUUCAGAUUUCUUGGCCCAUAUGGGAUUCCGGCUUUGAUCUAAGUUUACUACGAGAGCCACCUGGAAAUGCUCUCUCAAUUUCAACUAUACUAUGUGAUGAUAUUGCUAGUUCUUUGCCCUAUCGCCUGUGCUCAUUUGUGGUUAAUUAGUUUGUAAUAACCCAAAUUUGCCCAGGCUUACAACCCAAAAAUAAACAGAAAUAAAACCCAAAAAUAAAUAACAAGGCCCAAAUAAUAAUAGCCCACAAAACUUAAAAAAAAUCCAGCCAACUGAAACCCUAAUGCCCUCAUAUACGCCGCACCUCCUCCUCGGACACACUGCUCGUACCUCGUCCCAAGGUCUGACUCUUCCCAUAACAGCCCAAUUUUCAAUGAUAUCAGAAACAAUGAUUUUGGAUCACUAAAUCUGAUAAGUAAGCUUGAAAAUUUAAUAAUUAAUAAUUACGGGUCAAGUGUGAAUUUAGAAGAAUUUUUGAAUUAGUGAAUUUUGUUAUUUAAAAAGAAUUUAAUAGGUAAAUCGGGUCUAAAAUGAGGUAUCGAGACCUCGAAUCCAUAAGUCAACACAUAAAUAUUUUUAUAAAUAUUUAUGGAGUGCCAUUGAGUUAGUAUUAAAGUUUCAUCAGAAAAUUUUAACGUUUUGAUAGUCAAUUAAUUAAAAAGGACUAAAUAGAAAAGAUGCAAAACUUGCUAAAGUGAUUAAAUAGCCUAAAAAUUAAAUAAGGAAGGCCUAAAAGAUAAAAUGGACCAAUUUAAGUGGCUGAGGUGGCAUACGGUUAAAAAAAUUAAAGAUUUUUAUGUAUUUAAGGGCAAAAUUGGAAUUACAAUAAAGUUUAUGUGGCCAAAAUUUAUUUUAAGGAUUUCAAGACCAUUUCUUCUUGAAAUUUCGGUGUAAAACAGCCAUGGAAGAGGAUUGAGAGCUGAUAUUUUAUAUUUUAGCUUCAAGUUCAAUUCUUGUUUUUCCCUUGAAAUUUUUAUAUUUUUGGACUUUUACAAUUAGGUCCAACUUAGUAUUCUAUUAGUUUUUUAUUUUGUUGAAAGUUUUGGAAGAUACCAUUGAUAAGUUCAUAUGAUUUUUAUUAUUUGGUGAUGAAAUUGAGAUGUUAAUGGAUGUUUAAAGGUGUUUUAUUAAAUAAUUUUGGAUGAAAAUAUGUUUUAGGGAUUAAAUUGAAAAGUAUUGAAUUUGUGGAAAAUUCUAAAAUUUUAAGAAAUCCAUGGGCUUUCAUUGACAUGUAUGCGAAUGAUUAGGCUUGUAUCAAUGAUUAAAUUGAAAUAAUUUCAUUUUCCGAGCCUAGGGAUGAAAUCGUCAUGUAUUAAAAGUUUAGGGUCAAAAUGGUAAUCAAUAUAUUGCACUAAAAUAGUUUUGGGUAGUAGUAGUGUGCCAACUUUGAAAAAUCACCAAAAACUGUGGGAAUCGAAUUAGAAGAUGAGUAAAAGAUGAAAUUAAAGCUUAUUGUGUCUAGUUUCUCAUAGAAGAAACAGUGUAAGCAAUGGAAUUAUAAAUCAUGAGAUAUAAUAAAUUUUGUGAGACAGAGUCAGAAUAAUUUUGGAAUCCCCUGUUCUAAUUUUGGAAAAUCAUUAAAAAUUGUAUAAAAAUAAUUAUGAGUUAUAGUUUAUAUGUUUAAAAUCCUGAAAGAGUUUAUUUUCAAGAGAAACAAACAAGAACAUCACCCAAACUCUGUACAAUGAGAUAAUUACUUUUUGGUGAAGAGAGGUCAGAACUGUCAAACAGUGAAACAGGGGAGAAUUUAAAGAAUAAACUGUAUUUAUUGGCUAAGCCAAAAAUUCUAAAAAUUUUAUGGUAAAAUGAUAUAUGAGACUAGUUUCUGGAAAAAUUAACAAAUCUUAAUUUAGAGCUUCGUAGCUCGAGAUAUAAAUAAUUUAGUGACUCUGACUCGGAUAGACAACUUUGAAUUUAUGUAUAAGUAAAUCGUGAAAAUAUAGUUAAUGUUAUUUAAGCAUGUUAUAUACAUUAAGGAUGUGGAAUGGAGAGGAGGAGGAGGAAAAUUGGAAAAUAUAUGAAUGACUUGUGUAUGAAUUGGUCAUAUGCCUGAUUAUAAUCGAUAAACGUUGAAUUUGAAAUGAUAUAAUGUUUUAUUUCAAAUAGUUAUUAUGAAAUUAUGAUUAUCAUUAUGUUACAAAAUUUAAUUGUAAGUUCAUAUGGCAGAAUUUUAAUGAUUAAUUGUUAAUUUCAUAAUUAUAUAAUAUAUGAUGGGAUAUAAUUGUUGAUGAAUUGAGAAUAAAAUAACAAUGCGAAAAUCGAAUAAAUGAUCAAAUUUAGUGGAACGUCGGAUUUGAGUACUUCUGAUCAGUGACAAGUGAUAUAUGAUUUCCGUGUAAGACCAUAUUUGGGAUAUGGCAUCGUUGUGACAUGUGUUUCCGUGUAAGACCAUAGCUCGGCUAUGGCUUCGGUGUGUGAUAUGUAACGAUGUGCAAUACCAUAGCUAUACUAUGGCAAUGUGGAAACAAAGUACUCAAUUCCAUAAGACGUUCUCUAAUUUAUCAAAUUGUGGUAAGUGUUAAGCAAAUUUUAUGUGAUAAAACAUAUUGAACAGUGAAAUUGAGCUGAAUUAUGUGAUCUCAUCAUUCAGAGAUUGUGUUUGAUAGGUUAUGUUAAUAAAUUAUGUGUAUGUGAAUUUAAGUGACAGAAAUUAAACAGCUAAUGAUAUUGAGCUCAUUUACAUGAAUCUGUCAUUUGAAAUUGUGAUUGACAGAAAGAAAUAGUGAAUUGAAUAUGAAAAUGUGAAUAGAAAGCACAAACUAAAUGUUCUUGCGAUAAAUAAUGGCUCAAUGUGAUAGUAAAUGAUGUUAAUCUAAUGAAAGUUAAAUUGAAUUGUAAAUGACUUGAAUUAUCCGAAAAUGUUCUAUAAUCUCUGGUAAUGUCUCGGAACCCUAUUUCGGUGACAGAUACGGGUAAGGGGUGUUACACUUCCCCUGGCCACCUUGCCUAGCCUUGUAAAACAAAAUAGAAGAAGAAGAUAGAAGCGAAAAUAGCAGGGGAUAGCAGAAAAUAGUAGCAUAAUCGGCUGUAAAAGCCCCAAUGAAAUGUAAUUUAUUUUUUUUCUACGGAUAAUCAAAUAUUAAGAGAACAAAAUAUCAAUCGAAAAUCCUGAAGGUUUACUUCUACUGUUGUUUUAAGUUUUGGUUCAUUUUUAUUCUGCCUUUUAUUUUUCAUUUUUUUACAUACAAAGAAAGGAAAAAGAAACAGAAAUAAAAUACCAUAGUUUUAAAACAACAAAGGAAUUUCUUUGCAUAUUUAUCGAAAAUAGAGCAUAUAUACAUAGAUAUAUUCAAAAAAACACAAGUUUUUUUAACCUCUGUUGUGACUGAAGAAGGUGGAACCAAAUGGUUUUUUUUCGCCUUUUCUGAAUUUCAAAGGGGUUUCUUAGGAUUUUAACCUCGGAUUGAGAUUUGGGAGGCCGAAUAGGUCGAAAAGGGGCCUUUUUUUGAACUCCGGUCGACGUAUACGGCGGCAUACGGUGGUGGAUGACGGUGGACGGACGGUUGCCCAGUGACUAGGGUACAGCUAGACCACGACCGGAGGAAAAGGGAUUGAGAGAGAAUCCCCUGAUUUUUUUUGGAAAAAGAAGAAAAUGAAAUUUUUAAAAAAAAAUUGACUUAACUAGGGCCCCUAAACGGCGCCAUUUAGGGCUGGUCAUAAUAGCCCUAAAACGAUGUCGUUUUGCCCAAGACCCGCGCAUGUGACCCGACCCGCCAGAGGAUCCGCGUGUUUUUAACUUUUGGGCUAUUUGCGCUUUAGGCCCUUCAUCAUUUUUGGUCUAUUUCAAUUUAGUCCUUUUGCAUUUUUUCUUUAUUUUUUAAUUUAGACCACAGAUUUGUCUCGGUUUUCAAUUUGGUCCUCAAUUCGUUGGACCCCUGGGGAGGAGAUGCGUGGCCUGGAAAACUGGUUUAUUACCCAUUUGGCCCUCCUCCCUCUCGCGCUCUUUCAUUUUGGUCUUUCUUUAUUCAUUUUAUUAUAGCUUUGACCUUUAAAUUUCAUUUUUAUCCCGAGUUAGUCCAUCUUUGUUAUUUUUGUUAUAUUAUUAAUUAAUCUAAUUAUUAUCAUACUUAUAUUUUCUUUUUAUAUUUACUUAUUAUAUUAUUAUAUUAUACUAUUAGUUUUGUAUUAUUAUUAUUAUUAUAUUAUUAUUAUAUUUAUAUUUAUAUUUACUUAUCUAAAUUUUAAAUAUAUUUUGUCUUAGUAUAUAUUAUUAUGUAAUUACUUAUAUCUUUUGUAUUUUUUUAACUCUAGAUUAUUCGCUAUUCUAUUAUUAAUAUUAUUAUUGUUAUUAUUUACUUAUUUAUAUCCUUUUUAUUUCAAACUUUGUUAUAUAUAUACAUACAUACAUAUAUUAUUUUUUAUAUUUUUAUAAUCUUAUUUAUUUUCAUUAUUGUUAUUAUUGUUUUACUUGAUAUUUAUUUAUUUAUGUGUCCAUUAUUAUUUUAAGAAACAUUUUAGUUCUGUUUGUUUAUUUACUUGUUAUUUUAUGUAUAAUUGAUUUGUCCCCUUUUUUUAUUUAUUUAUCUUAUUUUCGUUGUUGUUGCUCGUAUUAUUUAUGCUUACAUCAUUGUAUUUAUUAUUGUUUUGUUACGCAUAUUAACCCCGUGUUUUAUUUCUACCAUUUCGUGUUAGAUUAAUCUCAUUUGAUGCAUAAAUCAUGACUUUAAAACAAGUAAAACUAGAUAUUUUGAGAUCCGAAAAGGUCGUGCCCUAACUUACGGGGCUUUGAUUUUCUCGAUAAAUUCAAAUACACGAAUCUUUUCAAACAUAAGUUUUUUAAGUGAUCUCGGGAAUUAAUAAAAGAUCGGGUUCUAACUUACGGGACUUGAUUUCUUUUCCAAACCCGAGAUAAUCAAAUCGAAUAUCCUUCAAAUAAAUAAAGCUUUUGGCAUUUAUUCUCGAAUCAAGUAUUUAAAUAUAUUGUGUCCUAACUUACGGGAUAUAAUUCUCUUUCUCGAUUAACGCGAAAUAUGCCCUUUUCUUGAAAACUUUCAGCAUUUUAACAAAGGAUUGUAUUUUGAAUCUUUUCAAAGUUUCCAAUUCUCGACACUAAGACACUAAUUAAUCAACCAGGUACCAAUUUCUAGGCGUUAUGAGGGUGCUAACCCUUCCUCGUAUGUAACCGACUCCCGAACCCAUCUUUCUGAAUUUCGUAGACCAAAAGCGUUGUUUUAAUAAAUCGAACCGUUUUGUUAAAAAUAACCAUUUUUUGAGUUGACCUGAUCACACCUCCUCAAAAAAGGAUUGGUGGCGACUCCCAUAUUCAUUUUCGUUUUAAAAAUCCAAGUCGACCUCUUUUAUCAAAAAAUGGUUUCGACAUAGUUGUUAAGGCUUUUGCCUCUUUCUUUUAUUAAAAAAAAAAGCUGGGCACGAUGAAUCGACCUUAGCUAGUAAAAAACUUCAAUCACCGAAUUGCAUAAAAUUCUAACUUAAAUUCAAAUGCAGAAGCAGGAUCGUUUAUCAAUCCACAAUAUCAACAAAUCUCAAUUCAAACACAAAAUUAACCGGUGAAAAAAAAUAGUUCAACCCAUAAACAUUUACCACAAAGGGAAAUUUGAAACACUUACCACCAUUCCCCUAUCAGAAAGUCUUACCCACAUUCAACAACUAGAAAUCAGAGCUCACCAAAAUGUUUAUGACGAAGCCAUUUUUUUGAAAAGGGUCGACUUUUUAUUUAAAAACGAAAAAGGGAGUCACCACUAAUCAUUUUUAUGAGGUGUGAUCGGGUCACCUCGUAACGGUUUAAUUGAUUAAAAUAAAAAUUUUGGUCUACAAAAUUUAGAAAAAUGGGUUCAGGAGUUGGUUACGUACGAGGAAGGAUUAGCACCCUCGUAACGCCCAAAAUUGGUACCUAAUUGAUUAAUUAAUGUCUUAAUGUUGAAAAUUAAAAACUUGAAAAGAAUUUAAAAUACGAUCCCUCUUUAUUAAUGUUAUUUUUUAGUUAAAAUUUCUUGGAUAAAUCAAAAUGUGUGCUUAAGACUUUCUCGUCCCAAAGUAGCAAAAAUAUUAUGUCCCGUAAGUUAGGACACAACACUUUGAACUUUGGAGAAUGAACUUGCCUUUAUUUUUUAUUUUAAAUCUUAUUAUUUUGAUUUUAAAAGGAUAUUCGGUUAUUUGAGUUCAACGAGAGAAUCGAAACCCCGUAAGUUAGGUACGAUUUCCUGAAUCUCCAAAAUAUGAAUUAUUGCCUAUUCUUUUGAAAAUUUUCCAUUUUUAUGAAAUUGGAUGAAAAUUAAUGAUAUUUAAAAUGAUAUGCAAUAUAAAAUAAAAUAUUAUAAUAACCAUGACGUAAUUACAAAGAUGAAUGCAAUAUUGUUUGGUGGAAAAUGUUUUCCGAAAAAUAUUUUCUGAAUUUUCCAGCGUUUGUUUGGUGGAAAAUGAAUUCCUAAAGUAAAACAUUUUCCAAACACGGGUAAAAUUAGUCCCCAAUUUUUGGAAAACGUCUUACUAAUUUGGAAUCAGUAAGAAAUUUUCCCGUUCUCCCUUCUCUACACUCUCGUUCUCCCUGCCUCUCUAAACCAAUCUUAGGGCUCAUUGAGCUGGUUCCGGGCUAUUUUUCCCCCUUGAUUUCUUCUCCUUUUUAUAAAUUAAUUUGGGGCUUUUCAUCACUGUGUGUUGUUUUUGUCUGGGAUCUCUUGCAUGGGUUUUCUGCUAGUUUGGGUUCUCUGUGCUCAGGCUUUCUACAAAUUCUGCUCUUCCUCUCUUGCUUGGGUCGGGUUUUUGUUACCGUUUUGUAGCCUGUGGCGUUUGGCUUGUCUUGGGCAAACUUUCUUCGCUGACUUUCUUUAGAAAGGUAUAUUUUCUAUUUUCACUUCCAUUUUCUACUUAUUUUUUAGACGCAAAAUUUCUUAGCAAUUCUUUUAUCUUGAACAAACAAUGUUUUGAGGUUUUGGGUCGUUUCAUAAAGUAGAAAAGGAAUCGAACUGUUAAUAUUCUUAAGAUUGAGAAAUUGAGGACACGUUUGGUUCGCUGUAAUGGAAUAGAGGCGUAAUAGUAAUUCAACUGUUUGGUCGAAUGGAAUGGAAUAGAGCUAUAAUAGUAUUCUUGUGUUUGGUUGAAUGGAAUUAUGUUGUAAUAGCAUAAGGAAAAAAACUAAAAUGAGUAUACCCUUAGCAGAAUUUUUUUAGGUAGAUGAUUAUUAUUAUUCUUAUUAAAUUUUAAUAAGAUUAUUAAUAUAAAUAAUAAAUAAUAUAAUCAUAUUUAACAUAAUUAUUAUUAAAUAUAAUUUAAUAAAAAAUAUAUAAUUUAAUAAAAUUCUUAAUAUAAUUAUUCUUAUAUUAAUUUCCUAAAAUCAUAAUAUAUAAUAAUCACUACACCAAAACAGGUUUUUAGCGGCGUUUGGAUAAAAAACGUCGCUAAAAAUUGAGCAUUAGCUGCGAUUUACGUCAAACGCAGCUAAAGAUCGAGCAUUAGUGGCGCUUCCAAGAAAGCGCCUCAAAAAAUGAGCAUUAGCGGCGUUUAUCCAAAAAACGCCGCAAAAAACGUAAACCCAACGGCAUCGUUUUUGACCUUUCGGGGCUUUAGCGGCGCUUUUUCAAAAGCGCCGCUAAUACUCGGGUCUUUAGCAGUGCUUUUCCCAAAAUGCCGCUAAUGCUCUAGUCUUUAGCGGCGCUUUUUCAGAAGUGCCGCUAAUGCUCGGGUCUUUAGCGGCGCUUUGUCAAAAAUGCCGCCAAAGCUCGGGUCUUUAGCAGCGCUUUUUCAAAAAUGCCGCUAAUGCUCGUGUCUUUAGCGGCGCUUAAUCCCAAAUUGAUCCUCCAUACCAAAAUGAGUGGAAAUGAGUUUAAAAGAUGUCCAAAACAUUAACAUUUAAACAUUUGUUAAGAAAUUUUCUUUUGUUUUCAAUAUAAAUGGCUUAAAAAAUGAAAAAAAAGUCUUAAACUUUGUUUGAUUAAAAAUUUUCGUAUAUAAAAAGGAACAUAUUUAAAUUUAUGUGGAUGGUUUUUAUUUAGUUUCAUUAAUAUAGGGAGAUUAAAGAUUGGUGGAGAUUUUACCUAACAAAUUAUUAUAGAAAGAGAGAAGAUGGAUUUAACACCUUUUGAGAAUCCAUUCCCCAAUGAGUUGUAUGGUGUAUCAAUUACGCAUGUAUGAAUAUAUUUUCCUUCCACCAUGUGCUGCCACGAAACUUAGGGCCAAUAUUGUGGAUUCCCGGAGAAUUAGAAGAUAAAAGAAAACCUAUAGGAGAUUCUUGUAAGAGUUACUGGUUUAAGAUUGGUUUUGGAUUUUGUAGGAAAGAUAUGCUGCAUCAAUUACACAUGGGGAUUUAAUACAAGUUGGAUCAUUUUCCUCAUCAGCUAACAUUUUCUUAUGCUAGUUUAGAUCCAAAUCCACACACCCAAUUUUGAUUUGCGCUUCCAUCAAACUAAUUCUUUUUACUGUGAAAAACAUAUUAUUUCAGUAAUAAAUGUUGAAUCAACAUUAUUUUAAUAAUAAAUUAUUUUAUUCCUUUUACUAUAGUAUUUUUUUCCCAUCAUGUUGAUUUAGGUAUAGUUUGGAUAGACAUUGCGUUUACUUGUGUUUAGUAUAAAAACAACAGUGACGAUAAAAUUAGAUAAAAGUGAACUAAUCGCACCGCACUGGCCAUCCAAAUCCAAGUACCAUACUCUUCUUUUAGUUUUUUUUAAACCCUAAAUAAGAAAGACAACCUCAUUUAGCGAAGUCAUUAACCCCUUUCUUAAAUUUCCAUAAUAAAACUCAUACCCUAUUCAAAAACCCUAUUUUAACAAAAUUCAACUAUCUUUGAAUUAUUCGUAACCCUAUAUUUAUAAUACAGACGUGGUGAUCAGUUAGACCUUUAAUUACUUAACAUACUUUUUUUUUAUUGACUAACAUCUCUUGUUUUUAUUGACUCCUUUAAUUUUAAUUUAAUAAUUUUAUAAUUUAAUCUAAAGAGGUCAAAUUCGAAUUAUUUUUUUGAUAUAAUUUUUAAUUUAACAAGAGCUGAAUCAUACUUUAUAGGAUUUGAACCUUGGACGAUAGGUUUGAAGACCCACAUGCUACCGAACUAAACUAAUAUCACUUUCUUAUCAUAAUAAAUAAAAUUGUAAAAAAAAUCCUUUUAUUUUAUAACCCUAAUACAAUACAUUGUAUGUCGUAUAUAUAUAAUAUGAGAAAAUGAUAGAUUGAGCAAAAUUGCAUCAUAGGUUGUGUUCAAAAUUCAAAUUCUUUUUGGUUUAGAGGGUUUUAUGUUUGGUUAGUGAUAAGUUUUUUUUCUUUCGCAUGUGAUUUAUCUUUUCGAUAUGUAGGGUGAAGGAUUUAAAUUGUGGAAUGUUUGGUUUAUAUAAGCAGCUUAAGGUAAGAAAAGAAAAGCAAGAUAAAAUUUGAAAGAUGAUCCCAUUGUUGACUGAUUCAUUUACUGCGAGCUUCUCCCUCAUAUUGUAGCGACACUGAUGUACAAAAUAUUUCAAAGAUGUACAAAUUUUUCGAGUUUAAAAACUACAUUGAGUGUAUUUUCGUAGGAGUUCAGUUGAUUUAAAAACUACAUUAAAUGGUUUAGGAUUUAAGGUUUACUUCAGAUUUGUUAAAUGAUGAAAUUUUAUACAAUAAAUUAAUACUUUUAUAUUUAAAAAUAUUUAAUCUAAAAUAUUCGAUAUAUUUAAAUAUUAGAUUUAAAAAAAUUGAUAAAUAAAUAAAGUCACUUAACUAAUAAUUUUUGGUAGAUAAAAUAAAAAAUUUUUAACAGAGCAAAACGACGUUAUUUUAUCAAUAGAUAAGCAAUAAUGGCGUUUUUUGUAAAAACGCCACAAAAUUUAUUUUACUUAGAAAAAAAUUUGGCGCUGAUUUUUCCCAAAUUUUCCCCCUAAAACCCCUAACUUUGCAAACAAAAUGAAAAAAAGAAGAGGAAAAUGAAGGUACCAAAGACGAUUCAGCACAAAACCUCUCCAAUCUACUUACGAGUUCUACCGUUUGUUUCCCUGGAAAAUAUAUGAGACUUAAUAUUUUCUGUUCCAUUUUUCCUCUUUAUUUUCUAAUUUUGGGUAUUAUUUACUCAGAUCCCCUUUCUUUUUAUUAUUGUUUUUUUUUUCUCUUAUAUUUUAGCUAGAAAUCGACGAUGCAAGUUACUGCUGGUAACAAGUUAUUGCUUAAAAUUCAUCGUAACAAAUCUACUUCAAAGGAAGUUAUUCAUAUUCCUUCGUAUCGAAGCGAAGUUAUUUACGGUGGAACUUGGUUCUCCAGCUCUCGUAAGUUUGUUCCCAGUUUUGUAUUUGCCAUCUAUACCAGGUUUACCUCUCUUACUUCUCUUCGUCUUCAUCUCCCUUUCAUUUAUUCUACCAAAAACGCCUCUUACUUGUCAUUUUUUUCUCACAUAUCGUGCAAGACUCAUUUUUCUUUCUUUAUGCUCUAGUCUUAACAGUGCACUUCAACUGUUCAAUAUAAUGCUUCUUUAUACAAUUUGUUUCUGGUUUUCAGGGGGUGUUGUUUGUAAGAUGUUGAAGCAAGCGAUAUGGAAGGUGUUGAGCAAAAGGGUAGUUUCAGAUUCUGGUGAUAAACUUCUUUUGCCUUGUUUGUACUUGCCCACGACUUCUUUUCACGCUGGACAGGUAGGUACUCUUUUUUUUUCUUUUAACUCUUACUUUAGUUUUUUUUAUGGAUACCCAAUUGUUAAUUUAUUAAAUAAUAAAUCUUUAAUAAUAAACCUAAAUUUAUGGCAUUUGAAUUAUUUGUAGAAUUUGAAUCAUAAAAACAUUGUCAAGUAUCUUGGAUCAUUGAAGACAACAAGAAGUUAGGUUUUGUAGUCUCUGUCUGGAAUUCUUGCUCUGAAGUUUGUCUAUUUUAUACGAGUUGAGUUUUCAUGGUUUGCUGUUGCAUUGUUUCUUCUGUUCUUUGUUUUGUUAUUGGAACUAUUUCCAAUUGUCUGGUUUACUUGAAAUCCGAUAUUUGAUUAAAGGGACCAAGUAGAGAGCACAAGUGAGAGCGAAGGCAGUGCAAGUGAUGAAGUGCUUGUUGUUCCUUAUGAUAACUUAGCACCUAUUUCUUGUGGUAAUAUUUUCUCAUUAUUCUUCUACUUUUGAAUUUAUUGUAUUCCAAAUAUAGCAUCAAGAAAAAUAUAAUAGUACAUUAGAGUUCAGCUUGUAUAAUUUGUUUGGAUUCUUUCUGUCUUGAAGCAGAUAUUACUGAAUCUAAGCAGCUUUUAGAUAAGCUUGUUGUGGUGAAGUAUAAUAGAGCUUUGGGAAAGAAUAUGGGUUUCGUUGGUCCCAAGUAAGCAAUUAUCUAACUUCUGGAAGUUUGAUACUUAUUUUUUUCCAAGAAAAGAGAAGCAUUUCUUGAUGAUUCCAUAGUUAUAUAUUAAAGACUUGCCUCUACAUAAAUGAAUAUAGUUUCUAUGACAUACAUAUAUUUAUGUAUGCUUUUUAUAUAUGCCUCUACAUUCAUAUAUUUAUAUAUGCUUUUUAUAUUGUAUUGUGCCAAAUAAAGAGAAUAAAAGUUUUAAUUAUUGAUAGAUUCUGCUACUUUUUUUAUGUACUUUUUAUUAAAUCACUCUUUAAUCAAAUGUAGAAUUAUAAAAUUAUUAAAUUUUACUAUAAAUAAUUAUCCUUAUAUAAUUAAUUAUUUUAGUAAAUUUUCCAACUAUCAAAACAGAUCACUCCACCAUCCCACGUCAAAAUUUUGUUAAGGGUAGGAGUUGAGAGAGGUAGAUACUUUGAUGAAUAUUUUCUUUUACAUGAUAAUUAUAUACUUCUUUAAGUUUGUUUUGGAUGUUGGGACAAUGUCAGUUGAUGCCGAAAUUUGAUAGUGCUGCAAAUUGAAGUGUUUAAGUGCUGCAAAUUGAAGUAUUUAGUUGCUGCAAAUUGAGAUGUUUUAUCGCUGUAAUUGAGGUGUAUAAAUGUUGUUAAUUGAUAUGUUUAAGUGCUGCAAAUUGAAGUGUUUAAAUGCUGUAAAUUGAAGUGUUUAAGUGCUGCAAAUUGAAGUGUUUAGUUGCUGGAAAUUGAGAUGUUUUAUUGCUGUAAUUGAGGUGUAUAAAUGUUGUUAAUUGAUAUGUUUAAGUGCUGCAAAUUUAAGUGUUUAAAUGCUGUAAAUUGAAGUGUUUAAGUGCUGCAAAUUGAAGUGUUUAAAUGCUGUAAAUUGAAGUCUUUAAGUGCUGCAAAUUGAAGUAUUUAGUUGCUGGAAAUUGAGAUGUUUUAUCGCUGUAAUUGAGGUGUAUAAAUGUUGUUAAUUGAUAUGUUUAAGUGCUGCAAAUUGAAGUGUUUAAGUGCUGCAAAUUGAAGUGUUUAGUUGCUGCAAAUUGAGAUGUUUAACGCUGUAAAUUGAAGUGUUAAAGUGCUACUUUCCAUUGUCACCUCCCCCAUUUCUUUAUGCAUCAAUAACUAUAUUAAUGAAAUCAAGUACUACAAUUAUAUACUAUUGCAGAUGGGGGUUGGAGAAUAUGAUCAAGGGGAAAACAUCAGAUAUGGUGAUUCCUAGCCAAGCAGUGGCUUCUUAGACACCCAACAUUUUGCACAACCAAACAUGACCACAACUUUUAAACCUACAUGUUGAGGUUGCUACACACAAGUCCCUUCCUUUUUUUAGUUUAUGUGCUAUGUGAUGAUUGUGUUUUAAAAUUUAACUUGUUUUAGUUCCUUACAUUCUUAUACGAUUCACACUCAAGGAGCUAGAUUUGGAGCUUAAACUGUCACUGUAAUCAGUAAUUUUUUUUUUGCUUCUUUAAAUGCAUGCUCAUGGAACUACAUCUUAUGCUUUCCUAGAAUUGUAAGUUCAAAUAAGGUGUUGAUCUGCAAUUUAUACAUACAACUUGAGCAAGUUGAUAUGAACUAGUUUCAAUUUUUUUUUUUAAAUGAAAGGAAUGUUAUGUAAUCAAAGGCAAUUUGACUUGUUGCAUGAGAUAUAGUGAAAAACAUUUAUCUUCUUAUUCAUGAAUUUCCAUUUUAAUACGUCUUCAAAUUAAAUUAUACAUUUUUUAAUUGGUAGAAUCUCACUUUUGCUGUUGCUGCAAUCUUUAACCAAAGAAUGGAGUGAUGUAUGUACUGAUAACAGUUCUAAAGGAUUUGUUUAAGCAAGUAAAGAGAUUGGCGUUUUUAUAAUAAUUUAGGAUAGGAAUGGAGCAAAUCCAAAGAAUGGAGUGGCAUUUUUAUAAUAAAUUUUUUUAUUUUUCGUGACCUUUACUAGCGUUUUUGGAGAAAGCGCCGCUAAAGGUCUUGUUUUUUAGCGGCAUUUUUGGGAAAAGUGCCGCUAAAGGUCUUAGUCUUUAGCGGUGUUUGUGGUAAAAGCGCCACUAAAGGUCUUGGUCUUUAGUAGUUUUUGUGGGAAAAGUGUCGCUAAAGGUCCUGGUUUUUAGCGGCGUUUGUGGGAAAAGCGUCGCUAAAGGUCUUGGUCUUUAGUGGCGUUUGGGGGAAAAGCGCUGCUAAAGGUCUUAGUCUUUAGCGGUGUUUGUGGGAAAAGCGCCGCUAAAGGUCUUGGUCUUUAGCGGCGUUUGGGGGAAAGCACCGCUAAAGGUCCUGGUUUUGAGCGGCGUUUGUGGGAGAAGUGCCGCUAAAGGUCAUGGUCUUUAGCUGCGUUUUUUCCGGCUAAAAAAGUGCCGCUAAAAGCCUGUUUUGGUGUAGUGAAUAUAAAAAUAAUAUAUAAUCUCAUUUAUUAUUUUUAAAUCGCAAUACAUAUUUAAUGUGCUAAAAUAUCAUUAGUGAAUCAAAUAAUUUAAUUAUUCUACAAAAAAAUAGAAGUAAUAAAUAACUUGAAAAUUAUAUUUUGCAUAAAUAUAAUAUUCAAAUAUUAACAAACAUACCCUAAAUCAAAUUUCAUGUAUAAUUUUAAAAUUUACCCCAAAGAUUUAGUGUACUUCUUGACCUGAACUUGACAAUUAAGUUUAUUUUAGUACUUGUAUAUUUUUUGUCCACUUUAAUAAUUGAACUUGACAAUUAGAUAUAUUUUAAUCUUUGAACUUGAAAUAUAUAAAAUUUUAUUGACAUAACACUUUAAGAUUGUCUCACAUCAUUAAAUUUGGACGGAAUAUAAAUUCAUAGUCAAAAUAGACCUACUUGUAAAGUUAGAUACUAAAGUAGACCCCAACAACAUAUAUAAGUAUCAAAAUGAAACUAGCUUACAAAGCAAAACUUCGUAUAAAAGAAGAUAAACAAAUUGUGCUACUUGAAGGGAACAACACUGGCACUGGAAAAACAUUCCGUGUUUGAGGACAUAAAAUCUCUUAAGCACUGCGUCCAGGUUAUGAGCUACUCACAGCAACACAGAUCGCUGGGAAAUAGUGUGCCAAAUUACCUUUUGUAUCUCUUCUUGGAACCACAUGGACAGGGAGCAUUACGGCUCAUUUCUCCACUCUUUACCAUAUUAAACUUGGUAAGAUCCAAUGGUGUUAAACCCGUUAGCUUUUGCACCUGCAAAAGAUAAAAAAAAACUAAUGACAUUUCCAAUGGAGAAAGAGAGAGAUGCAUAAACUAAUACUUGUCAUUGAUGUUUUAAACUGUGGGAGAAACAUUCAUCCGAACUCAAAUGCGAAUUUCAGCAACUGAAGAUGAAUGAAGGCAGACAUCUCAGUCUUUUAAGCAAUCUGGCAUUGAACCAAAAAAGCAUAACGCAGAUCAGCAGACCAAACAUCUGUAACUCUAUGUUAGUUCGACUCUUUCUUUUCCUUUAUGCAUCCAUGUUUGAUGCAAGUCUGGGACCAGAAUGAAUAUAGGGAGAUAAUCCUUUAAAAAUCCUCCAAAUACAUUAAAAAACUUGGACAAAAAAUGAACACAACACACCCGUGUCAAACAUAUAUAUCAGACACUCAAACUAUAGUCUGAACAACAAGAUAUACAAUCAUCAUUUUGACUCAGAUAAUAUGCAUAACUAACUCCCCUACCUUCUUAGACAAAUAUCUUACUUAUCUUUCAAAUAGCUCAUCCUACAUUCAACAUCAUAUUCACCGAGCAGCAGCCAAAAGACAAAAAUACAUUAACUUAGAGAAUUUAAGAUCAGACAAAUUGAGCAAUAGGCAUAAAGACACUAGCUCAUACGUUUUAAUCAUUCAACAUAUUAUCAGCAAAAACAUAACUGAAAAAAACCAGUGGUGAACCUACCACAGCAAAGUUCUUUGGCAUCGGUUUGCCUUCCUCUUUCAGCUUAACCAUCUUCUUAUGAACUUCUUUAGCCCAUGUGAACUUCGCAAGCGCAUUCUCAACAUAUAAUAAGGUACAAUCACACUGUUUUGCAGCUUCUUUCUUUUGACUCAGUUGGAGAUUCUAAAAAAAAAGUCAAAAUCUAAAUCCACAAUCAGCGAAUUCACCUACAGGGCUCCAACCAUGUUUUAUAGUUUGGACGAGAAAAGGCAGCACCUUCUUACAUGCAAUGUCAGUGGUCAACAGGACUGGAAUGCUCGCCUGUUUAUCAUGGUGGAAAUCAAAUUCUUAUAUAAAACAUAGUUAACAUUUCUCAGCAUAAAGCCUUCAUCUUUUGUGCAAACAAAUUUUAAAUUAACAGAACUCAACUAGUCGAAAUCACAAGCCAUUCAAAAAACAAUAGAAUCAGACAAACAUGUAAUAGAAUAAAAAUUUUCAUCUGUUCAAUCUGUUCAAUCGAACAAACAUUGAAAACAUUGAAAGAAUUUUCAUCUGUUCAAUCGAACAUGCAAUACAAAGAAAAGCUGAAUGGAAAACGCUAGAAACGAAUCAAAAUUAGGAGAACAAAAACAAAUAUUCCAGAUUUGAGCAAAAGCAAAACUAAAUCGAUUUUACAGAAAAGAGAAGAAAAGAAAAACAGGGAAAGAGUGUGAGAAUUUUUCGUUGUUGAUAAAAUGGAGAAAAGAAAAAAAACGAGAGAAGAAAAGAAAUGUACGAGAAUAAAAGAAGCAGAAAUCGAUGGAAGGGAAAAAAUUACCUUGCAAAACGUCGGAGAGGAUGAGCGCAGAAAACGAAAAAGAUGGUAACAAAUUGGGAGGGAAUCCCUAUUCCGCGCUUAAACAUCAGAAUGGCUAUUACAGCCAACGUGGGUAAUAGAUGCGGAACGGAACCAAACAUCCGUUUGGUGGUGGGCCUAGGGAAUUGGGGGGAAUGCAUACCGAUUCCCCCCAACCAAACAUACCUUGAGUUUGUUCUCUUAAGAGGAAAUGGUAAUGAGGUGUAAAAGCCAAGAGGAAAUGAUUAUCUUUACCGCUAGAAAUGAACAAGGUAUGUUAUUCAUAUUUUUCUCCGGAUGCAGGUUUUAAUUGGGCAAUAGUUUUACUUUUGUUAUAGCUAGAGGUUUUACUUGUCAUGCAUCUUACUGCAUUUGGUUAGUUUUAUGUUUUAUUGUUUUAUCUUUCUGGCAUUUUAUAUUUAGUUCUCCUAUUUUUUUAGACAAUUUCUGCAACAUUGGUUUCCUAUGACGUGAUAGUAUUUUUUUGUUGUAGUAGUGAUAACAUUUGUGGUUGGCAAGAUUCCUUUAACACGGUUUAUCUGGAAAGGUCUAUCUUUGGGUUGCUGAUAGUGUCACCGAGUGAAAUAAAUGCUAGUUGUGGCUCUUAUGAUUACAAACUAUUAGCUUAUUGGUAAAUUGAAUGUUCAGAUGUCAUGACUGAUGUAAAUUCACAUACUUUUAAACAUUGUGCAUCUUCUAAUUUUAUGAAUUUUAACAACAAAAAGUUUUCUAUACAUAAUGAUUAUUUGAUUACUGUAUGUUUGAUCUUGGAUUUCUGUUGCUAAACAUGAAUUGGAAUAAAAUGAAUGCUAGUUGUUCAUUUGAAUAACAAGAAUGAAAUAAAUGCUAGUCAAGGCCUCUAAAAGACUAAUUUAGUAAUUUGGCUGAAUUGAACCCUUAUAUCAUUAGGGAAUAUAACAGAAGAACUACUAAUAGUUUGAAUAGAACAUAAUGAACUGAUUAAUAAUACAUUUAAGAGGUAUGUUAGUAGCUGCUAGUCUCUAGUUCCUUGAGAGUUUGGUUGUUCAGAGUGUCGUCUAGGAUUGUAUUCUGUGCUGUCCAUGCAAGUGUAAUAAGAUUGACUAAGGUCUUUUCCCUUUGAAAUUGUUGAUCACUCAAUUAAGCUCAGUUGACCGGCUAUCAUGUCCUUGCUCAAUUAAGCUCUGCCAUAACUGCACGAAAGAACAACAAUUCCAUACACUCAUUACAAAGAAUACAAGUAGUGGAGUUCACGGACUAGACAAUUAAAGAGAACUUUACACAUGUAACCAAAUUCACCAAUAUGAGCAUUGAUAUCUCAUUUUUAUGAGAUCUUAUUAGAUUAUUGAUUAUGAAUAUGUUUACUCGAUCAUUUCAAGAUCAUGGUUUCAUUACAUGGAGUUGUUUGAUGGUGAAGGCAAUAAUACAUUUUUAAGAUUACUGCAGCCAAAAGAGUUGUUGCAAAGGAGACCAAAGUCCAGAACUCUUUUUCUUUUGUGCUUCCACAACUGAGUUCUCCAUUACCUCAACUUUCAGCUUCAAAUCUUGAGCUACUUGUCUCUUUCUGUCAUUGAUUGUUACUUUUAUGUGGUCUAAUAUUAGUUAUGCACUUGGACAAUGUUGUUGUUAUUAUGUGGUGUACUACUAAUUAUGCAUUUGGAUAAUAUUAUUAAUUUCUAGUAUUAAUUGUGGUUUGGAAGCUAAUUUAUAAUUAUUCAAUCCUUAUUUUUUAUUUUUUAACACAAUUAUAAAUAAUUUAUUUGACUUUGGUUGUUUUCAAUUUAUGACGGUUAAUAUUGUAGCUUAAUAAUUGAGUAUUUUGAUUUAUUUAUUUAUAAAUAAAUCAUUUCAAUAUAUGUAAAAAUAAUUUAAAAUAUAAAAAUUUAUUAAUAUGUAUAUAAAUUUAUUAAUAUAUGUAAAAACAACUUUUUCGGAAAAUAUUUUCAGGAAAUCUACCAAACAACAAAAAAUAUUUUACACAGAUUCAUCCAAACACUAGAAAAUAUUUUCAGUAAAUCAUUUUCCAGAAAAGUAAAUCAUUUUCAGGAAAUCAUUUUUCGAAAAACAUUUUACUGGCAAACAAACGAACCCUUAUUGCUCAUGGUCAUCAACCUAUAAACCCAAGAGCAUUAUUAGCUUCUAAAUCCAAAACACUAAUAUCAGCAUCCAACCCAACAAUGAUAGUCUUAUUGACUCAUUUAAACAAGUUUCCUUUGUCAAUCUAUAUUCUGUAUUUGGUAAUCUCCAAUAUGAUUUCAGAACAUACGAUAGUUGGAAGAAGAAUAGCAGCAAAGAUGCAAAGGGAAAUGACUUAUACGAGGAGGAAGAACCAUCUUUUGGGUGCAAACCUGUAUACCAUAUAAUAGGAUGUCCUGUAUAAUGUCACGAGAGCUAGUACCGUUGCCAAGCAGUAAUUACUAAUGCUAAUAUGAUGAACAGAAAAGGAUCCAGCCGUAAGAUAGUAUGGAUACUGAAAUGCGAGUGUCCGUAUGGAAACAGCAACUAAAAGCAUGUAACAGGUCCCAAAACAGGUCCCAAACAAGGAAAGUGUUAUGAGAAUCACUACACCAAAAUAGGCUUUUAGCGGCGCUUUUUUAGGCCUUUAGCAGCGCUUUUUAGCGCCACUAGCGCCGCUAAAAACGCCGCUAAUGACAGUGUCGCUAACUUUAGCGGCGCUUUUUCCACAAACGCCACUAAAGACCAAGACCUUUAGCGGCGCUUUUACCACAAACAUCACUAAAGACCAAGACCUUUAGCGACGCUUUUCCCACAAACGCCGCUAAAAACCAUGACCUUUAGUGGCACUUUUACCACAAACGCCGCUAAAGACCAUAGCUUUUAGCGGCGCUUUUCAAACAAACGCCACUAAAAAUAUAUCUUUUAAAAAAAUUAAUUUUUUUCAAAUAAUAUUUAUUUCUAUAAUAAAUAUUAUAUUAUGUUUUAAGGAUAAAUAAAAAAUAUUAUUUAAAUUAAAUUUUCUACAAAAAUUUUAACUUUAAAACUAAAUAUAAAUAUAAAAAUUAAUGAAUUUAAAUUUAGAAUUUAAAAUAAUAAAUUAAUAACACAAUUAAAAUCCAAAAGUUAGAACACUUAAGUAAAAAUAAAAAUUUAGAAUCAAAACUAAAAUAAAUGAUACAUAUGCAAGGUAAUAAAAUAUACAAUGCAUUUUCUUAAUCAAGUAAAUCUUGGUUACAAAACUAACACAGAAAAUAACACAGUAUACAGUAUGUUUUGUCUUUCACAUUUUAAAAAUAAUAAUAAUAGCAUGUUUGUUUGCAUGCUACCAUGAUCAAAACACAAAAAUGAAGUUCUCCACCUAAUACAAAUUUCUCCUACGAAUGUGCAGAAUCAGAUCUCUAGAUUCUCGGAGUUCUUCAUCUGGUGCUGUCUCGAUGGUUUUGAUUAUUGUGUCAUCUAGCUGGAUUCAAAAAAAAGAAUAGAAUGCAAAGCAUGUUAUACAUUUGGACUCCAAAUUUUUAGCAACUCAAAAGAAUGCUAAGAAUGUUGUCCAACCUUCCAGUACUCACAAGGAUCUUGAAUAAAAAUGAAAUCAGACCUCACCACUUCAUAUAAGAAGCCUACACAACUAAUUACACAAAAGAAAAAGAUGAGAAAAAAUAACAAUGUAAAAAAGACGUUUGAAUGAGAUAAUAUAGAACCCAGAGUUAACUCUGUGAAUACCUUCACUUUAGAGUGGGUGUACACAGUUCGAUAAAGAUCAGCACGAGUAGCAAAUAACUUGUGGAUACUAAGAUCUAGCAAGAGCACCCAUUACCAUUAUUAAGGAGUAAAAAAACACUAAAAGAACUAAACAUGUAUUUUGCAAGUAAAUGAAUUAGAUGAUACUAACAGUCUUUAGCACGAUAGCAGAUCUCAUCACCCAAAACUCGCAGUCUCCAUGAACCUGCAGGUGGUGUAGUAUGUAUAUUAAGUUUCACUUACUUAUCCACAUCAAUUCCAUUCUAACCAUUUGCAACAAUAUCAUAUAAGAAUUGCUUCUCCUUUGCACUCUUCAAAGUAAGCACAAAAUAGUGUAUGUGUUAGAUAAAGAAAAGAAACAAAGAAUGUUUGUACUUCAUACUGGAGCAAAAUAUAAAAAAUCCAGUGAUCAACAUGUGCCUACACUUAAAAUAUAAAAAAUCUAGUGAUCUACCGAAAUUAAACUAUUCAUCAAAAUGAUUGCAAUUAACUGAGUUAAAACAUGAUUUUUUUUCUUUUCUUGCAAAUAUCUAAAGUUUUUUAUACCUUCCCAAAUGGUGAAACAAGCUGGUGAAGUGCUGUAAUUCUGUCUCCUAAUUUUUCUUUCCUCACCUGCCAUAUAACAUAUAUAUGUAUAUAUACAAGUCAGAAAAAAAGAAAAAGUAGGUGAUUAAUUUACUAUUUUACUUUCACUUAAACUAUAUUCUCUUUUUCAUACAUUAAUAGAAUAUGAUAGUUACAGCAAAAAAAAAAGAAAAAGAAUCAUCCCUCUAGAAAUCGACAACCAAACAAGGACAACAGUUUUUACCACCCCACAUGUAUUUUGUGUAUGUGUAUAUAUAUAUAUGCUUGUGAGUGUGCGUGUGCGUGUGCGUGUGCGUGCAAUCUGUAUUGAGAUAAAAAAAAACAUAUAUUUAAUUAUAUAAAAAUUAUGAUAAAAGUAUCAUGGAAGUCCCUGUACUAAAAGGUGGAUUACAUUUUGCCCUUUUACUCAAAUGGUUUAAUUUAAACACUCAUUCAACAGCUAUUACCUAAAAUGCUACCACUUUUGAGGUAUAAAAUCAGUGGAAGUCUAAAUGAACAAAGUCCUAAGCCAAUCAAAACAAAGUCACCAAGAAAUGAAAAAACAAUCUGUUCUUAUCCUUUCGAAACAGUGACCAAAUACAAUGAAUUCAAAAGGUUGUCCUUUUCAUAUCUGCUUAUCAACCAAAUACGCAAUGAGAAAAAAAAAUCAUGAUCCGCCAGCAGAAAAGCUUGAAAUUUGAAUGGAUCAAAUGAAACAUAAAUCUAAUGUAAAACACACCUGGAGAAAGCUUAAAAGAAGAGCUUUGAUGAGAUUUUCUGGUGUGAGCUCUGGCUGACGCUGCUGAUAUCUUCCUUCUAACUUCCCCAUUAUCGUCCCUCAAAACCCAAUAAUCUGUAAAACGAAGACUCCCCCAAAUUACUUCAGAUGUCUCUCUUAAAUUCUAUUUAAAAAAAUUAAAAAUCUAUAAAAAAAAUCAGUUACUAUAAAAAAAAGAGAUAAGUGUGAAUUAAAAAUAUAAUCCCAAAUACUGAUUCAAUUGCAGACUGGGAUUUAUUUCUUACCUCAAAGGUACAGCAAUGGUUGUAACCUCUGUAACCUGUUUGUGAAACCUCUGUAACCUGUUUUACUAGUAAAGCCGAUAAUAAUCCAGAAACUGGUUGUAACCUCUUUGUAUUUGCCUGGGAAACCAGAAAUCUUCUCAUUAUCAGCAUAUGUUGAUUUUUUUUAUAAUGUCGCAGGGAGGGAGGGAGGGACAGAAAGCAAGAGAGACGGCGAAGAGUUUUAGGAGGGAAAAUUAGGGGUUUCGGGGAAAUUUGGGGCUAAAAUGGGGGGAGAAUUUUUAAAAGUGAAAUUAGGGUUUUUAGAGGGAAAUUUUGGGAUAAAACGGCGCCAAGUGAAAUUAUUUUUGCGACGUUUUAAAAAAAAAGCCGGGAAUGUACCUUUUGUGGAUUUUUUUUGAAAACGUCACUAACAAAUUUAAAUUCUUUUAUUGAAAUGACGUCGUUUUGAGAAAUAUUAAUACAUAGUAACGGCGUUUUUUGCUAAAAACGCCGCUAAAGCUCUCAUAUUUUUUAUAUUCAAUUAUUGUAUCUUUCAUAUAAAUUAUACAUAAAAGAAUUAUUAAAAUUUUAAGUAAUAUUUAAAAGAAUUAAAUAAUAUUAUAAAUUUAGUUUUCUUAUUUCAUUUUUAUUUUUGUAUUUUUUUCUUAUAAUUUGGUCCUAUCUAAAUUAAAUAAUUACCUAUAUAUCCAUAUCAAAUAUAUCAAAUGGUUUAAAUUAAAUAUUUUUAAAUAUAAAAGCAGUAAUUAAUUGUAUAAAAUUGUAUCAUUUAACAAAUCUCAAAUAAACCUUAAACCCUAAAUUAACCAUUCAAUAUACAUAAAGUCUAUCUAUUAUAUAUCUCUUACAUAAUAUAAACUAUACUCAUAAUUUCAAUAUAUUAAAUUUAUUAUUAUCUCUUUUACAAUUAUAUAAGAACAUAUUUAAUAUAUAAAUUAAAAAAUCAAUUAAUCUAAACCCUAAACCUUAACCCGACCCUUGAAACCCUAAAUCCCUAACUCCUAACCCCUAACUCUUAACCCCUAAACCUUAAAUCCCAACCCUUAAACCAUAAUCCCUAAAUCUAUAUAUAAUCCCCGAACCUUAAAAUAGUAACUCCUAAACUGGCUUUAAAUAUUAAAUUAACCAUAUACCGUAAACCAUAUAAACCCUAAACUAUAAUGAUAAUUAAUUAAAUAUUUUAAAAUUAAUACUAUCUUAUCUUUUUCAAUUAUAUAUGAAAUUAUUUAAUAUAUAAAUUAAAAAACAUCAAUAAAAUAUAAAUUAAAAUGCUUUUUUUUGGAUAAUUUAAUGAAUAUGGCAGGAUUAACUCUAAACCCCUAACCCCUAAAUUCUAAACUUAGCCCUAAACCUUAAACCCCAACCCUUAAACCAUAAACCAUAAACAAUAAUCCCUAAACUAUAAUGAUAAUUAAUUCAAUAUUUUAAAAUUAAUACUAUCUCUUUUACGAUUAUAUAAGAUAUUUUUAAUAUAUAAAUAUCAAACACGUCAUAGACACUUAAAACUUUGAGAUAGUUAUACUAUUUUUUAUUUCACUUAUAGGAACCUCAUACACUCAAGCACUGCAAGUCUUUUGUGAAUUAACCAAUGGUUAUGAAGAUCUACUACUUACGGUUAUCAAUGCCAGCUGGAAUCACAAAUAUUAACAAGAAUCAGACAUAGAUAGCAAAAUUAAUCAAGCACUUUCAAGGGACAUUCUAGCAGUUCUUUAAAGAAAUGGAUUUCAAUCCAAAAUUCAACAGUUCUGUAACUAGCCUAGCAGACAGAUGGAAAAAUAAUAUUUAUUUUAGAGAUCAGUCUACCUCUUAAGUGGAAUAACUUUCUAUAAACUUUAACCUUGUGAACUUUUUUAUUAAUAUAUUUCUUCUAAUACUUCUUAGAGAUAAUCACAGUCAAGAGAUUCAACCAUUAAGAUUCAAUGGAUGGUUAAUAUAAGACCAAACAAAGACAAUGCAUCUAAUUUAAUAAGCUCAGCAGUGCUCACGAAUAAAGCAAAACAGUGUAUAAGAAAUUAUUUAGUAUGUAAAUUAAAAAACACUCAGUAAUGUACCCAAAAAACUUAAAAACUAUUUUAAAUAAUAGUAUUUUAAAUCAUGUACCCAAAAAACUUAAAAAUAUUUUUUGCGGCGCUUUUUAAAAAACGCCGCUAAAAAUAGAGCAUUAGCGGCGCUUUAUCAAAAACGCCGCUAAAGACCAGAGCAUUAGCGGCGCUUCUUCAAAAAUGCCGCUAAAGACCCGAGCAUUAGCGGCGCUUCUCCAAAAACGCCGCUAAAGACCCGAGCAUUAGUGGCGCUUAUUCAAAAACGCCGCUAAAGACUCGAGCAUUAGCGACACUUCUUCAAAAACGCCGCUAAAGACCCGAGCAUUAGCGGCACUUCUUCAAAAAUGCCGCUAAAGACCCGAGCAUUAGCAGCGCUUUUCGAAAAAUGCCGCUAAAGCCCUGAAAAAUCAAAAAACGAUGUCGUUGUGCUUGGGUUUUUUGCGACGCUUUUUGAAAAAUGCCACUAAUGUUCAUUUUUAGCGGCGUUUUCCAAAAAACGCCGCUAAUACUGGAUCUUUAGCGGCGUUUUUCCUAAAGCGCCGCUAAUGCUUGAUUUUUAGCGGCGUUUUUUGUUCAAACGCCACUAAAAACGCCGCUAAAAGCCUAUUUUGGUGUAGUGAAUAAACAAGUAGAUUGAACGGCUGGGUAGGAGAUAGGCUGUUAAAACAGUUGUUGCCCAAAAGGUUAAAGUGUUGUAUAACCAAAACAUUGUGCACACGUUUAGUAUAGGUUCUAUUUUUUUUUCUUCAGCGGGUGGAGGACUUGGUACGGGUCCAGUGCUGGUUAAACCUAAAGAUGCGUCAUACUUGAGUUGGAAAUUCUGGGAAUUUGAAAUGGUACCAGGCUGCUUUGGAGGGUUCAAAGUGGCAGUGUAUGUGGCUGUUAUAAUUAGCACUGUGACUACUAAAAAUGUGUUACGCAUCUCAUGUGGGAUUCCCUUUGUUGACACCAUUUUUUUUAUAAAACAAGGUCGACUUGGGUUUUAAAAAUGAAAACAAACACGAGAGUCGCCACCAAUCCUUUUUGAUAAGGUGUGAUCGGGCCACCUUAAAAGUGGUUAUUUUUAAUAAACAAUUUAAUUUUAUUAAAACAACGAUUUCGGUCCACGAAAUUCAAAAAAUCGGUUCAGGAGUCGUUUACGUACGAGGAAUGAUUAGCACUCUCGUAACGCCCAAAAUUGGUACCUAGUUGAUUAAUUAACGUCUUAAUGUUGAAGGUCGAAAGAUUUUAAAAUACGAUCCUUAUAUUAAAAACUUGGAUAAAUCAAAUUAGCCGUUAGGACCCUCUCAUUUCAGAGAGAGAAAAUAUUAUACCCAAUGAGUUAGGGCAUGAUAUUUCACCUCUUCAAAAAUGUGCUUGUCUAAACAACUCGUACAGUAAAAUUUAAAAGGAUAUUCAAUUGUUUAAGUCAGGUGAAAAAAUUGUAGCCCAAUACGUUAGGGCACAAUUUCUCAAAAUUCUAAACAUUGAAUAUUGCCUUUAUUUAUUUUUUAGAAAAAUUCACGUCUCGAGAAAACAACGUGUCAUAUCCAAUGCGUUAGGAUUCAACGUAUUGAAUUCCCGAUAAUGAGUUUUUAUUUAUGUUUUUGAUUAAAGAGCAUUCUCGAUUAUUUAGAUUCAACGAAGAAAAUUAGAACCCAAUACGUUAGGGCUCAAUCCUCUCGAAAAUCCCAGAUAUUGAGUAUUGCUAUUAUUUUAGAAAUUUUCCUUUUUUCCAAAUCUGAGUAAAAAUUGAUGUAAUGGAAUAACAAUUAUGAUAAUAUAAGUAAAAAUAAUAAGAGCAAAAACAAAAAGAUAAAUAAAUAAGAAGACAAAUAUUAAUAUAUAAAAAAAUCAUUCAUGUAUACACAAUAAACAAGUAAUAAGCAAAUAAAAGUGAAACAUUCUUUUAAAAUAAUAAUGAAAGCGUAAAUAGAUAAAUAAAUAAAGAAAAUGAAUAAAAUUAUAAGAAUGUAAAAAGAUAUAUGUAUGUACAUAUAUAUAUAAAUUAUAAGAUAUAAUAAGAAAUAUAUAUAAGCAUGUAUAUAUAUAUUUAUAAAAAUUAAAAAAUAUGUAUAUAGAUAUAUAUAUGCAUAAAAAUUAUAAAUUAUAAAAUAUAAAAAAAAUAUAAGAAUGUAUAUAUAUGUAUAAAUUAUAAAUAAGUUAUAAAAAUAUGUACGGGUAUAGGUAUAUAUAUAUUAUAAAAAUGUAUGUAUGUGUAUAUAUAACAAUAUAUGCAUGUGUAUAUAGAUAACAAAAUUUGAAGUUUAAAAAGUAUAGAUAAUAAUAUUAAUGAUGUAAUAUAAUAAUAAUAAUAUAUUAAAAUGAUCAAUUUAAUAAUAAAUAACUAAAAUACCAAGCAGAGGACUAAAUCGAAACUAAACAAAACUUUAGGGCCGAAAUCAAAAAUGAAGAGUAGAGAAAAGGACUAAAUCAUAACGCGUCUGAAAGGAAAAGGACCAAAAAAGAAAUAAACCAAGUCACCCAAAACGCAGCGUUGCAAUGGACUAAAAUGAAAUCAGUGAGAAAUUAUGCAGUCCAAUUUGAAGAAUAAAAAAAAUCAAAUUAAAACAAAGUGCAAAGGUGGAGGGCUUAAUGCGCAAAUAUCCCUCCAAAGUAAAAAAACACGCGGAUCCUUCUCAGGGUCGGGUCACUGCGCGGGUCAGGGCUAAAACGGCAUCAUUUUGGCUCCUGACCCUAAACAGCAAAACGCCGCCGUUUAAUAACCUUUAUUUAAAACAUAUUUUUUCUUAGAAAAAAAAUCAUUUUUUAGGGUUUUAGAAUAAAAUUGCAGAGGAAGAAACUCUCCUGUCGUCAGCCGAAUGGGCCACCAUCGGCCCCGCCGUGGGCGGUGGGCAGAAGGCCAAAAGUUGGGUUUUUUAAACCCCGCUUCAAGGGCCGUCUGAAGAUCGAGUUUUCAUGACCCUAAGGCCAUAGGAAGAAACCCCAAACGUCGCCUUCCCCAUCCGCUUUCGGUGACUCGAAGGACUCCGGUGACGACACUUACACGGCGAUUCAGGUAUGUUUUCCUUUCUCUUUUUAUUCUAUUUAUUUCGUAUGUAAAAAAAAAGAAGAAAUGGACCGAGAGAAAAAGCCAAUCGGAAAAUGUAAAAGGAAUCACCUUUAAAACUGUUUUCUUUUUUUAUUUCUUGAAUGUUCGUGGAAAAAAAAAGAAAAAAGACCCCCUUACAGAUGUAAAGAUCGGUUUUUAAAUCGAUUCUCCCCCCAAAAAAAUACAAAAAGUUUUUUUUUUAUUUCUUUCUAUUCUUCCUGUCACUGCUUCGGUUGCUUUGCAAGUACUUGAUGGUGGCAAGUGGCGGUGGGUAGGUGACAGAGGGCAAGUGAGCGGCGAUGUGACAAUGGCGGCUAAUCAGGGCAAGUGGGCGACAGAGGCUGCGACGCUAGGCUAGGGUUUCAGAAAAUUGAAACCCUAGUUUGACUGGGUUUGUUGGGCUGGUUUUUGGUCUGUAUUUGGGUUGUUUGUUUGGGCCAAGUUUGGGUUGAUAUGGUUAUAAUGGGCCCUUUGUAAUUUUUUGGGUUUGCCUGGGCAAAAUUCGGCUGUACACCCUUCUUUCCACGACUUGCUAUUGUUGCAAAUUUUUGAAGACUGACACCUUUCCUUUUAAAGAUUCGAUGUGGAAUGAAGAGAUGGAGGCUUUGGGAAGCGAGGAAGAGGAACCACUCAAACCUCCUGCUUUGCUUAUCAUGUCUUUAAUGGACUCCUUAUCGUCCACUCUCCCUUCAUCCAAUGGGUAUUGUGAUGGGAUAUCAAGUGCAGUCAAUCCCUUAGCAUUUUUGCAUUGAUAUGGUCAGCACACAAGCGUUUCAACAGUAAUUUUACCACCUGUUAAUUAGAAUAUUCAUACAAGUAACCUUUGAGUAUAUAUAUACAUAAAUAAUUUCACUUGCAAAAUUAUCAUACCUUAGGUCUGUUUCUGAUAGCAGCAACAUGUAAAACAAUGUUGCCAUCAAUGUCUGCCCAACUCAGAAGUUCUUUCUCCCAACAGUUGGCAGCUUUAUGGCGGCUCCUUAUAAGCCACCCCACCAAGACUUGGAAAGCUUCAAACCUGUCAUUUUUUACAUGAUUCUUUACAUGUUUUUGGUUCCACUGCAUAUUAUCAUGUAAAAGAAUCUAAGUUAGACCCAAGAGCAAAGAAAGCAUUAUUCAUGGGUAUAACUGGUGGAGUAAAAGGAUACCGUCUCUGGUGUCCUGAUACAAGGAAAAUUAUUUUCAGUAGAGAUGUGACUUUUGAUGAAUCAACCAUGAUGAAGAACAAUGAUUCACAAAAGGAUAACACAACCAAUGGCACUUUGCAGCAGGUGGAGCUUGAAAAGGUUAAUGAUGAUCCAGCUAAUAUUGAAGGAACAAAUGAUGAAGAAGUUUCGACCCAAGAACUUCUACAGCAACAUGAUUCAAUUGCAUAUAGAAGGCCAAGAAGAGAGAUUUGUAUGCCUGCUCGCUUUAAUGAUAUGGUGGCCUAUGCACUUCCAAUUACAGAUGAUGAUGUUCCUUCUACUUACACAGAAGCAAGAAGUAACCCUGAUGGUGUAAAGUGGAAGCAAGCUAUGAAUGAAGAAAUGCAGUCUCUUCAUAAAAAUAGGACUUGGGAGUUGGUGACACUACCCAAAGGAAAGAAGGCAAUUGGAUGCAAAUGGGUAUAUUCAAAGAAGGAAAGAUUUCCUGAUAAAAAUGAAGUUCGAUACAAGGCUAGAUUGGUAGUAAAGGGUUACGCUCAGAAAGAAGGAAUAGACUACAAUGAAGUAUUUUCUCCAGUUGUGAAGCAUUCGUCUAUUCAGAUUUUGCUAGCCUUGGUUGCGUAAUAUGAUCUUGAACUAGUUCAGCUCGAUGUGAAGACCACAUUUUUACACGGUGAUUUGGAAGAGGAAAUCUAUAUGACUCAGCCAGAUGGAUUCAAGGUUACUGAUAAAAAAAAUUGGGUUUGCAAACUGACAAAGUCACUUUAUGGAUUGAAACAAUCUCCGAGGCAGUGGUACAAGAGAUUUGAUCAGUUCAUGAAAGGGCAAAGGUAUACAAGAAGUAAAUUUGAUCAUUGCGUGUAUUUUUAGAAGCUACAAGAAGGAUUUUUCGUAUACUUGCUCUUAUAUGUUGAUGAUAUGUUGAUAGCAUCUAAGAGUAAAGUUGAAAUUGAGAGAUUGAAGACUCAACUCAACCUUGAGUUUGAGAUGAAAGAUCUAGGUGAAGCUAAGAAGAUCCUUGGCAUGGAAAUAUGUAGGGAUAGAGCUCAUGACAGAGUUAGUUUGUCUUAGAAGCAAUAUUUAAAGAAGAUACUACAGAAGUUUGGCAUGAACGAGCAGACUAAAGUUGUAAGUACCCCGUUGGCUUCUCAUUUCAAGCUUUCUACACAACUCUCUCCUUCGACAAAUAUGGAACAAGAAUACAUGUUACAAGUUCCGUAUUCUAAUAUGCAAUUGUGUGUACAAGACCCGACAUUUCACAGGCAGUUAGUAUAGUGAGCAGGUAUAUGCAUAAUCCUGGAAAAGGACAUUGGCAAGCUGUGAAAUGGAUUCUACGGUAUAUUCAUAAGACCAUGGAUAUUGGAUUACUGUUCAAGCAGGAUACUACACUUGGUAAAGGUGUUGUUGGGUACGUUGAUUCUGAUUAUGCCGGUGAUUUGGACAAACGGAGAUCAACCAUUGGUUAUGUGUUUACUCUUGCUGGAGGACCAAUAAGUUGGAAGUCUACACUGCAGUCUACAGUUGCGUUGUCAACCACAUAAGCUGAAUACAUGGCUGUAACAGAGGUUGUAAAGGAAGCUAUUUAGUUACAAGGUAUGGUUAAAACCUUGGGUUGGUUCAGGAGCAUAUUAAUGUGUAUUGUGAUAGUCAAAGUGCUAUUCAUUUAGCAAAGAAUCAAGUCUAUCAGGCACGUACAAAGCAUAUCGACGUACGUUUCCAUUUUGUGCGGGAAAUUAUUGAUAACGGGAAAAUUCACCUUCAGAAGAUUAAGACUGCAGAUAAUCCUGCAGAUAUGAUGACCAAGGUGGUAACAACAAUCAAGUUCGAACAUUGUUUGAACUUGAUCAAUAUUCUGCAUGUUUAACACUUGAAGAAUCCACUAUCAAGUGUUGUUGACAAAGGCAGAGAGAAUUGUGUGAAGAUAAGAUUACUCGAAUCAAAUCUUCAAGGUGGAGAUUAUUGGGAAUUAUCCAUAUUUAUGGAAAAUCAAAGAUAUGGGUAUCAAAUAAUAGAAAUUCAAAGAUAUGGGUAUUAAAUAUUGGAAAGUCAAAGAUAUGGGUAUCGAGAUAUUGGCAUCAUAAAAUUUGAGAUAUUUGCAAUAUAUGGUCUCUAAUUGUAAAGUGACUUUGCAAGUUGAUCCCUGAACCUCAACUAUAAAUAAGCAUGACCAUCUCUCAUUCUGUAUCUCAAACUUGCCAUUCUUUACUUAAGGCAUUGUUUUCUCUCUCUCUCUCUUUGUAAAUUCUCACUUGUAUUUUGGAGUGAAAUAUAUUUGGUAGUGGCCGAGGAUGUAGGCAAAAUUUGCUGAACCUCGUUAAAUUAUUGUGUUCUUUAUUGUAUUAUUCUGCAUGAAUUGUGUGUGUGAUUGUAGUGAUUUAUUGUGCCAUUAAAUUACGAUUGAGGGAUAUUCUGGCUAAGGAAGACCUGGUACUUAAGCGAUCCUUGUGAUCCACCUCUCUUUCCUGGGAAUUGAACUUAGUGUGAUUUUUUAGUACAAAAAUUUUACUCUUUUACACGCUUCCGCACAACAUCUUUAAUGAUAAAAGCUUAAAGAAUAAUCUUUAAAAUUUGGUUGUUGGUAGCUUUAUUUGGGUAGAAUUUGAGAUUUAGUUCAUAUAUUUUAAAUGUUAAAAUUUUAAUUUUUUUUACUUUUUCAAUUUAAUAUUGUAAAAUAAAACCAUAAAAAAAAUUGUGUACAAAUAGUAUUGAAUUUACAUAAAAAUAUAUAAAAAAUGCAGCAUAAAUUUGAAUAAUAAUACAUGAACACUUAAAAUGAUAAUAUAUGAAAAAAAACUUAAGAUAAUAAUAUACGAUAAAUUUAAACAAUAUUAAUAAUGAAUUUAAAAUAAUAUUAAGCAUAAAUAUUAAAAUAAGGUUAGAUUUAAAAAUAUAUAAAAAUAAUGGAAUAAUAAAUACUUAAAUAAAUUAGAAAAAUAAGCAAAUUAAAUCAAGCUAAUAAGGAUUAAAUUGGAUUUAAAACAAAAUUAGAAGGCAAAAACGUAAAUAAAAUAAAAUAAAGGACCCAAUUGAAAGGCGCGAAUAACUCAAAGGGACCAAAUGGGGAAAUAUCCCCGCCUUUUGAAAUGCAUCGUUUCACCAGGACCAAAUCAGAAACCAAAUAAAAUUUAAAGUAUCAAUUGAAGAAAAUAAAAAAAAUUGAAUUAAAAUAAUAAAAAAUACGGAGGGGGCAAAUGCAUAAAUAUCCUUACCAAGACCAGAACAGGCAGAUCUAGCUGCCUCUGGGUCGAGUCAUCGGGUAUAGUCAAUACGGCACCGUUUUGGAGCCAUUGAAACAGACUUUAAAUGGUGCCGUUGCAUGGCCUUUAUAAAACAAAAAAAAAAAGAAAAAUAAACAAGUUUUUAGCCAUUUCGAAUCAGAUAAAAACCUUAGCCACACGCCGUUUAGAAGCCUGGCCAUUCAAAGGCCAAUCGAUCCCUGUCUGAACUUCGAUUGCGACAGAGUGAGCAAGGAUUCGACACCACCAAGUAAUUUUCUCACCUUAAAUCGUUUUUUUCUUUUUUUACACAUGAUGAGUAAACAAAUAGAUGAGUCUAGAACAGAAAAGAAAAACAACGAAAAGAAAAAAAAAGGUUUCAAAUCACCUUUAGAAAAUUCUGAUUCUUUGAUUUUUCGUCCCCUUUUAUAGAUUUUUAAUUGGCUUUUUAUAGCCGAAACGAAAAAAAGAAAAUAUGUAAAAAAGAAAUCUAUUAUGUUAUCUAGCUAUUUUCAUUUGCUGGCAUAUUGUUGCUCGCUUUUUACUGUUAUUCGUUUCUGUUUCAGGUGUACGAAGGAGCGAUGACGUGGAGGUGCAACACGCGUGGAGGCCUGGUUCCCAGCUGCGGCGUGGACUGUUCCAAAAACCCUAGGGGUUUCUGGAGAUUUCAAAUUGGGCCACUUCAAAUCGGGCUAGGGUUUAAUUAAGUCUAGGAUUGUAUUAGGUCUAGGAUUGGGUUAGAUUUUGGGUUUAGGCCUCAAUCCGAAUUUGGCCUAUUGUAACUGAACUUUUGGACUUAUUAAUGGUUAUUUUGGGUAUUGGGCUAUUAGGGUUUGUUGGGUUUGGGUUUUAGAUAUUUGGGCUGAUUUGUGUUUGUUUAUUUUGGGUUGUUUGUGUAAUUCUGGAAUUUUUAUUUUAUUGGACUUUUAUUUUUUGAUUUGGUUUUUUUUUUGUGUGGGCUCGAGCAGAUUGGGCCUGCUACAAUAUUGAUGCAAAACUUUGUCACUAAAGUGCAAAUUGUAACAAUAGUUAAGUAGUCUUUUGUUCGAAUAACAUUAGAAGCACAUCAAAGUCAAAGCACAUAGACUUUAAGUUCAUUGUUGUUAAAAUAAAAGUUUAGGGUGGUUAGAUGUCUAUAAAGUAUAUUGAGACAAACUCCAUGGUUGUGGAUUCGCUUAUUAAGGGACUACCACCCAAAGCUUUUUUCCUGAGCACACUGUUGAUAUGUGUGUAAUGUCAUUCAAGGAUAUUUGAUUUUAGUAGGAGUUUGUACUUUUAAACGUUUUUAUGUUAUAAAUACAUUUUCAAUUAUUUUAGUUUACAAAUAUUAAGUUUUUUUUUUGUAGAAAGAAAGUUUAUUUGGUAAAGUUUGAUCUCACUAAGAUUAAUGUGGACCGGUUAGAAUAUGCAUGUUUGAAUCAUAUUACAUGUAAUUUUCAUGUUACACAUCCAUACUUAAUCUAUGUCAUUUGGUUGUGCUAAUAUAUGUGAUUAAGGCUGGAUUUAGUUAUGAUAUAUGUAACAAAGUUGCAUUCUUUCUAUGUUAACAUAAUUAAUGGACAGAUUGUUCGAAAUGCCUUUUAGAUACGAUAGUAAAAUUUUGAGCUCAUAAGGUUAUAUAAUGACAUGUAAUUAUAAGGUAAUCGGUAUAUAUAUAUAUGUCAUCCAAGUGGUAUAUAUGGACAUCACAUAUAUAAUAAGCAUGUUACAUGUUAUUAUUUACUAUCAUAAAAGAUUAACUCAAAUUAAAAGUGACCUAAUUUGGUUAAGAUUUAUUGGAUUUUAGUUAUUAAAUAAAAUAUAGGUCAAUAAUAUGUGUAGAUACUCUAGUAACUAAUUUCUAAUUUAUGAUGGGCUGAUUAGAAAUUAGGUUAAUGUGAAAAUGUUAUAUAUUAGGAUUUUAGUCUCCAAGUUACGCAUAUGUAACUUUUCUAAUAUCCCAUCUUGAGAAAAGAGAGAGUCACCUUCUUUAGAUUACUUGUGAGCUAAUUUGGAAGAUCAAAACCUUAAAAUUCGUAGAUUUCAAGAAAUCGGUAAAUUCAAAUACGCUUCUGCAUUUAGUUUUGUUCUUAAUUAUUUGACAUGAUAGAUUCUGAUUUAUUAAGUUUUGUAAAAGAGUUUUACGGUUUUAAUAGGAUAAUUACGAAUCCCAAAUAUAAACUGUAAAACGGACAUGAAGAAUAUAAAAGAAAUAUUACAAGAAUUUUGAAAGAGAAAAUUAAAUUGAAAAUUUUAAUGUUAUUUUUAUCUUUCAUAAUUAUUUUUAUUUAUAUUUUAUUUACAAGAACAUUUUAUUAAGAGUUUAUUAGGAUUAAGUUUAUUUUUACUUUUAUUAAAUAAAUGUUAGACUAAAAAUAAACUUUUUUUUCCACUGUUGGUAUAAUGGAUAGUAGGCUAGGUUGUCCUUUUUUAUUUGUUUAGGCACCCGUGUAUGAGAAUAAUUUAUAUUAGAAUAGUCCUAAAGGUUAAAGAUUUUAAUAUUAAUAAAAUUUUGUCACAUCAUUAAAUUUUAAAAAUAUAAAAUUAUUAUUAUACAUUCGUUCAUAUUAAAUUUACUUUUUAACUUUCGUUCUUCUUAAACAUAAAUAAUUAAAAUAAAAAUAGAAAAAUAGAAUAUUUAAAAUUUAUACAAUCCUUAAAGAUUUAAUCCAAUAUUUUUUUUUGUUUUAAAAAAUGUAUAAUAUGAAAUAGAAAAAAAAAUUAAAAUGGAAAAACUCCAUUGCCUAUAAACUAAUUUUUUUUAAAAAAUUGGUUACAAAAAUUAAAAAUAUUAACUUCUGAAAAAAAACUAAAAAUGAUUAAAAUUUAUAAAAGAAGAAAAGAUGUUUAUUUAUAAUUUAAAAAAAUUAAUUAUUUUAAGUAAUUUAAUUAAAGUUAAAUUAAGUUAAGAAAAAGGAGAAAUGGAUAAGUAUAUAAUAAUACAUAAUUUGUUAAAUAUAUAAAGAAAUUUAUUUGAUUUAGUACCUAAAUAUUAAUAUUCGAAACUCUCGAUUUUUCACAAUUUAUUCAAUCAAAUUUAGAUCCAACUUUAAUUAUAUUACAAAGACAUUCUAUUUUAUUAUUUUAUUAACGGGUGAAAAAACUUAGUUCAACCCAUAAACAUUGACCACAAAGGGAAAUUUGAAACACUUACCACCAAUCCCCUAUCAGAAAGUCUUUCCCACAUUCAACUAGAAAUCAGAGCUCACCAAAAUGUUUAUUCUUUUCAAUCUGAACCGACUCUACAAUCACUUAUUGCUCAUGGUCUUCAGCCUAUAAACCCAGAAGCAUUAUUAACUUCUAAAUCCAAAACACUAAUAUCAGCAUCCAACCCUACAAUGGUAGUCUUAUUGACUCAUUUAAACAAGUUUCCUUUGUCAAUCUAUAUUCCAUAUUGGGUAAUCUCCAAUAUUAAUUCAGAAUUUAGGAUAGCUGGAACAAGAAUAACAGCAAAGAUGCAAAGCGAAACGACUUGUAGGAGGAGGAAGAACCUUCUUUUGGGUACAAACCUGUAUAGCAUAUAAUAGGAUGUCCUGUAUAAUGUCACGAGAGCUAGUACCGUUGCCAAGCAGUAAUUAGUAGUGCUGAGUUUAGAAUAGGAAACGGAUCCAGGAGUCGAAAGAUAGAAAAAAUACUGAAGUGCGAGUGUCCGUAUGGAAACAGCAACCAAAAGCAUGUAACAGGUCCCAAACAAGGAAAGUGUUAUGAGAAUAAACAAGGACAUUGAACGGCUGGGUAGGAGAUACGCUGUUAAAACAGUUGUUGCCCAAAAGGUUAAAGUGUUGUAUAACCAAAACAUUGUGGACACGUCUAGUAUAUUUUCUAUUUUUUUUUCUUCAGCGGGUGGAGGACUUGGUACGGGUCCAGUGCUGGUUGAACCUAAAGAUAUGUCAUACGUGAGAUGGAAAUUCUGGGAAUUUGAAAUGGUAUCAGGCUGCUUUGGAGG